AUCUUAUGUGGAUCAGGAUCAUCACAAUUUCGUAUGGACAAGAAGCCACAGUCUUGGCGUUCAGUUAUAGUAAAAGGGAAAGUGAGAUUGCCAAGAUAUCCACAAUGAAAAGAAGGUGGACACGUUCCUUGGUCCCCAGCCGCCAAGAGAAGUGCCAGAAACUUAGAAAACAAAAGCAGUGAUACAAAUCCAUGAACCCGACUCAUGCUUCUUCAAUCGCAAACAACCUUUAUGAAUGAGCGAAAAGCGUUAUGAUUGAAGAAGAGGAGAGUGUCUUGAAGUAUUUUAAGCAUUGGUGGCCAUAUGAAUUGCAUAAUACGGCAGUUGACUUGGAAAAUGAGCAUGGACGACUUAGUCUGAGAAAUAAGCAUGGAAAAGGGUAGCCAUCAUCAUCGUGGGGCAUGGCAAUCGAACCCAGAAACACCAAAGACAAUAACUACUAUUACAAACUUAUUAUGACUCCCAUCAAUUAAGUGGUUUUGCCUAUAAAAGUUAAAAACUAAGACUUCUUUCUAUCCUAUCCAGUACAAGUUCAUAAACUGGACUCAUCCCCUGGCAAAUCUGUAAUGGUUUAUGUCCUGCAUCUCACACAAAAGUAACAUGUAUUUUAACAUGUAAAAUUCACAAAAACAUUUUCUGUAAUUAAACUUUAUAACACAUUUUUAUUUUACAGAUGGAGCUAAUGAACAAAAAUCACACAUCUUUGAGCAAAAUUGUAGAAAUGUCUAUAAAACUUUCAAAGACCAAAGCCAACAAAUCCGCCUAAAUUGCAGAAUAGUUUAAAUUUUCAAAUCAUUUACAGAAUGUCAUCUUGUACCAACAAGGCCAAUUCAUCUACUGUUUUCCCUAAAUUGCUAAUAUCUUCUCAAAUCACAAAACCACGGUUCAACACUGCAUCAAAUCUUACACCAAUAAGCAUUAACCGUUGCAUUAUUCUUCGAGUUAUUUGUAAUGGGCAGAACACGCCCCCUCCUCAAAAAAGAUAAGAAGGAGAGUGAACCAAAUUAUAAUUAGAUAUUAAUAUUUUUUUAUACUUUAUAUUUAAUAUAUUUUCUUAUUAUCUUUAAUCUUUUACCUAUUAUUUCAUAUUUUUUAUUUUGUAAAGAUACUUAAUUACUACAUUAUUUUUACUAUUUAUUGGGUUAGCUUUUAAUUUUUUAUGUAAUUAAAAAUAAAUAAAAAAGUUUUAACAUUACAAAUUGAAGAAAUCAAUCUUUCCAUUCACCAAUUAAAUUAUCAGCUAAUUUUACCAAAAUAUUUUAAGUCAGUAAGUUAAUUUUUCAGCUCAAAACUUAUAAGUUAGGAACUUAACAACUAUCAACUAGUUUAUAAGUUAGUCUCAUCAAAUAUAUCCCUAAUAUAUGCUUUACACUUAAAGCAUUUAUAGAUAUUAGAACAAAAUAAUUAAUAAGAAAAACUUAAAUCGUGUUUAAUUUAUCAUAUGUUCAAUCAUUUUAAAAAAAAAUAGUGAUACUCCGAAGCAAACAUCAGUUAUAGGAUGUGAUUGAAAUUUGUUAAAGUGUUUAGUAUUUAAAGGAAGAAAUUAGUGUAUGAGAGAGUAAUAAAACAUGUUUAUAGCCUGUAUUCAGUAUCUUAACAAGCAAAUUUUGUCUUUUCUAUUUUCUAUACAAAACCACCGUAACACAUAAACGUUGUUUACCUAGUACUUCAUGCGUAAAUUGGGCUUGCAUGUGAUAAAAGAUAAAAUUGAGUCCGUUUCUUCCUGCACCCUAUCAAAUUUACUUUUGCACCCAUCAAUUUUCAAAAAGUUUUUUACCAUUUUUUUGAAUGACUUCUGGAUUAUCUUUUGCAGAAGCUUUCCAGUACAUAUUUUCUGGAAUUCAACAAAUGUAUUUCCAAAAAAAAGAAUUAAAAAGGAUUUCCAGAAAAAAACUCUCCUAUAUAAUAUGUUUCAGAAUAUAUUUUCUAGAAUAACUUUUUCAGAGUGUUUUGAGAAAAACUUUUCAGAAUAAGAACAAUUUAGAUAAUCUAUUGUCAUUUCACCUAUUUGAUGGGUUGUCACAUCCUAAAAUUGAAUUGGAUGUGUUUAUAGUGUUUUCCUGUUUUCCUCCGUACAAGAACAAUGAAAGCAAAUAACUUACGAUCAAACAUUUAACGCAGCCUAUUGCAUUUAUUUUUUUGACGAUUUAAGAAUCAAGGAAGAAAGGGUGCACAAAUGUGAGUUUAGUGAAAAUUUGUAGUAAGUUCAUUGAUGAGAUAAUUUUACAUGAAUGAAGCAGAACAAAUCAACUGGAGCCAUCCCAAAUUCCCUACUUUUUGAGAAUGAAGUCUCUAAACAACAGGAUUCUCUAUUGAUGUAAUAUAAUUGGAGUUAUGCUUAGUGUUCUUAAUCUUACACAGAUUGAAAUUACGCUUUCUUGUACUGUAUGAACCCUUCUAAAGUGUGUAUUUGAUUCAGAAGUUGACUUGGAAAAGGAGCAUCAAAUGCUUGGAGAGAAAUUGAGGUAGAUGACAAACAUGUUUUCGGUUAUGGGAUCAUCUUUAUUGAUCCAAUAAUGAAGCAUGUGACCCACCACGUUUUCCCGUUCAAUUUCUUUAUGCAACGUGCUUCGUUUCUUAUCUGUUUACCAAAUAUACAACAGUAUUCAUUUCUUCAACCAUGGACGCUUUGCAGCUUCUUUUCAGGACACUUUCUCAUCACCGUAGUUCUAUUUUUCCUUUCAUAGAUCCUACUCUUUUGUGGUGAAUACGAAACUAUCCACGAUGUACAGUAACUCCUUAACAAAAACGACUGAACUUUUAUUCAGGUUUAUUCUCUUCCGCUGUCACUUUUUAACAUUUUGAUCUUCUAAUCAUGUUGAGCUUCGACCAUUUUUUGGUACUUUUUGAAUUUUUUGUAAACCUAAAUAAUGCUACCAAAACACAGUGGGCCAAAAAAGUACUGUGCUUAUUGGUCCACUCAAGUAUUUGAAUGAACUAAUUCUUGCCCCGUAAAUGGUCUUAUUGGCUACAUUAUGCUUUUGUUACCAGUCUUUGAUCAUUGAAGCUCGUACGAACUUCAAAUUGAAGUGAUCAAGUGUUUUAUGGCAGAUGCUGUAAGAAAAAAGCUUUUCCUGCUAAACUGCUAAACAUUGUCAUGAAUCGUAGCAUUCCAAACACUUGCUGUCACCAAGUUAAAAAGUUCUACACAUUUUAAUUUUUGCUUUGAAAGAGAUUGCGUACCAUUUUUCAGCGUUGAUGCUAAAAAAACAUUACAAUUUAAUUUUGGUACCUUCAUUUUUAUAACAAGCUUAAUGUUUUUUUUUCAACUUGUAUACUAAUAGAGAUGAAAAUACAUAGAGAUUUGCUCAUUGGAUUAAUUUUUGAAAGCGUUGAAUCCCCAAGGGUUGGAAAGGUGAUGGAAAUUUAUACAUAGCACGCAAUGGUGCAUAGAAGAUGAAGAUGACAGCCACUUUUGUGGGUACAUUGACUACUAUACAAAAGAAUUUAGCAGGCACCGAUUUUAACCAUCCGAAUCUAGCAAUCAAUCAGACAUGAAGAAUCUUCAGCCGCCAAAAAACCCUUCCAGCCACUUACCCUGCCUUCCAUUUACCACUCAAACGCAAUGCCCAUUUUAGAUGAAUUCGCGGAUAUUACAUAUACAUCUGUCGCUACUUGAAGUGAGAUUCAAUCAAUUAAUUUGCUAUAAAAAUGUUGAAUACAAAAAAAUGUGAAAGAUAGCGUAAAGAAUUCUAGAAUAAGACCCCAAUUUUGAGGCUAUGACACCUUAACUCCACUUGGACGUUUCCCUUCCAUGGCAUCCUUCUUAUCACGGCAAUCAGAACAAAGAAAAGGACCUUGCCAGGGUUUGGAGCUGGUGGAGAAAAUGGAACCCGCGUGAACAGAGAUGCCCUCACUUGGAGCAAGAUCAACUUGACAAACGGCACAAACAAAAAUGCCAGAUGUUGAUUGCCCCGUGUUCAAGUUGUCAUCAUUUCCUAAUCUGCAUGCAGCACAUACCAAGUUUAUUAGCUACAUGGCAACACUUCGUGAACUGAAUAAACUAUAAAAUCUUCUGUAACACUGAAAAUAAAGAUCAAAUUCUAGUUUGUUUGAUCAGGAAGGGUGAUUGUGAUAUGGAUUUGACUUAUAUGAAUCUCUCCUAUGAAUCUCCCCUCAAAAAAACCAACUAUAUAUAAAUAUUUAUAAGGGAAAUACUGUUUUCAAUAGUGACACUGUGUAAAAACAGAAUUUGGCCCAAUCAUAUACCGGUAACAGAAGACCUUUCUAUCAUAAAUUCUUAUCUUCAAAAUUAUGUCCAAUUAACUUGUAAUCCUAUAUCAAAACCUACUUGAAUUGAAAAUUAUUUGUAGUAAAUAUUAACAUCAGUCCAAACAAAAACAGAGUCUAUAACCAUGGGUGAUAAUAUUCAUAAAUGGCAAUGCAUAAUAUUGAAAAUCCUUAAUGUUUGUUCUUUUUGUUGGGGAACAAGUUAAUCAGGCAGGCAGAGAGAAGUCCUUUUCAUGUUAGAUGAAGAAAAAAUCCUAGUUCAUUGAACAAGAUCAACUCAAUAAACAAUUGGAGGUCCAAAGAUGGAAAACAAAAUGCAAGUAACCUUCAAGAAAUUUUCCAAUUUUCCUCAAUUGGAUAAUUUUUCCUAUAAAAGAGAACGACAGAUUACCUUUCUGCAAGCAUUGCUGAUCCUUCCUCAAACAGUUCCUCUACUAUAUUUAUAGCUGAAAGCUUUUUUGACAGCUUACUGGCAGAAUCACGGGACCUUUUCCUGAACGAAAGAAGAUCUCUCAGCCUGUUCCGCUUUUGGGGGGGCGGUGUUGGUGGCAAUUCAUUAUCAGGUGGGAUUAUGUCAACUACUAUGCAAGUUGUAUCAUCCUUUAAUCCUCUUGUUCGUAGUGCUUCCUGAAUAACAGUUGGAAUGUAUAUACAUGUGAGAAGAAAUGCCAACUUUGCAACACUAUGCUAAUGCCAAAUCACAAGCCAGAAGACAUGCUGAUUUGGCUAAAUUACGGAUAGCAUUGCAGUGGAUACUACCUUGACAACCUGCAUGGCUGCAAGUUCCGCAGGCAAUCCUCGACAAGAUUUUGCAGCCAUUUCUGAGGAUACAGCAUCCCAUAUGCCAUCAGAGGCAAUUAUAAGCCUCCCACCAGCCUUUGAUAGCUAUAAUCAAUCCAUCACAAAGGGUAAGUUUUUAUUCUGAACAAAGACCUCACAAGCUGCAUAGGCAUUGUAAUCUCUAACCUAAAGAAUAAGAAAUUAUCUGGAAACAAUUAUACCUUCACUUGUUUAACAUAUGGUAUUGGAACUAUGAACUCUCCAACAUCCAUGUCUCCAAUUGACCUAGAAAGGCAUAGACCCCCUGGCCAGCAUCGUAGGGGACCAAUCUGUAAUGGUUCAGAACUAUACUUCAAAACAAGGAUAAGCUAAAUGCAAAGUCCCUAAAUGGAAGAUUUCUUCUAUCUUCCAUUUUAGGAUGAAAAAAAUAUAUAACUACAACAUAAAUAUGCUCACCUCAGCACCACCAACGAUGCUAAGUCUCCCAACUUCACCUCCACUAGCAGUUACACGUUCCCUCCUGUGCACACAGAAUAACCAAUAACAAAAAGCAUACAAAAAAAAAGCAAACUAACUAGGCCUUAAGAAAUAAAAACAUACUCUUCAAUAUUCUCUUCAAGUCUGUGAUCAACAGUUAAGGAGGAAACAGCACCACCCUGGGCAUCUAGUACACAACGGGAAUCUCCAACAGAUGCAACAGUAACAGUCCACCUAUCCACUAUUACAAACGUGGCUGUGGUUCCAGAAGUUUCUCCUGGACAAAACCAAAUGAGAGCUCAGAUAAUCAGUAAAAAGGAGAAAUAUAAUCCCGAUUCUCUAGUUUCGUAUUUUCACCCUCCCAAUAUGAAUGCAUAACUAUAUACUACCACCACAUGUGCAAGAAUAAAAGAUGAAGUUCCACACCUCUGCUCUGAAAUUCCUUGUCGGUCUUAACAAACCCUGCAACCAAUGCCCUGGGUAAAGCAUGCAACCACUCAUCUCGUCCAAGCCCACGAGGAAGAGCACUCAACACGUGAUUUAACAAAUUCUCCCUAGUAAAAAUAGCAGCAGCAUUUCCAUUAUGCCCAUCAAAGAUCUGUUAACCAGAAGAAAUGAGUGACCAUCUCAUAGGAUGAUGUUGCUUCAAUCCAAAAGAACAUUCAUUUUAGUCCGAAAGGGAGUUGUCACACCCCAAGAGUAAAAAGUAAAUCGAAAGUUCCAUUGAAACAUGCAGAGCAAAAUAUAAUCUGAAUCAGAAAAGUUGAACAAUACCGCAAAUACUGAAAAGGAUGAUGAAGGGUUUCCGGAGACUCGCUGACAAUCCGUCUUAAUUAGAAAGUAAUCCUCCCCUUUCUUGGACUGAGCUGCAUGUCCAAAUCUCACAGUAGGCUUCUCCAUCUUCUCACUCUUCAUCUCUCUCUUGAGCAAGGCAGCAAGAGGCACAAGAUCAUGAUGUCGCCGCCUCCCUUCACCAGAGGCCAUAUCUUGUCCCACCAAAGAACCUUCAACUUCACCUUCCUCUCUCGACCAAUUACUCGAAGUCAAAAGGCCCUCACUCUCACAAGCAUAUUAGACCUCCAAACAUAAAACACUCCUCCCACGAGUAAACACUUCUAACACUUGUUGGCUAUAUAAACUUUAUCCCAACUUGAUCUGCAUUCAUCACAAAGAUCAACAAUCACCUACUCAUCCCCAAAAACAACCAAAUAAAGCGUGUAAAUCCAAAGUGGAAAGCAACUUUUCACAAUUAGUAUGACCCAGUUUUGACAUCAACUAAGAUUUUAAAGUACAAUUACGGGAAAUUGAAGACAAAAGCAACCACGAUUGCAGUCACAGUUACGGGAAAUUGCAACCACAACCCCAAAAGUCUCGACCUUGCAAUUGAAAUCGCAUUAAAAUCUUGGCCUAUACUGACCUUGAUGAACCACGAACUUGAAUUACUUUUUUCUUUCAAAAAGAGGGGAAAACUUGUUGCUGAGUUCAAAGUAACCAAAACAUAGAACACAAAUUCCAACCAUGAAAAAGAAGACAACAAAGUAGCUGAAUUACCAGCGUGAAUUUCUGGGCGUCCACCACGCGCAAAGCCAGAUCAGAUAAGACUGCUGCACCCAGCAAACUUGCACAAAAGAAGAAAGAAAGAUUUCAAUACGUAAACGAAACGCGUAUUGGUGACUAGGUAUGAACUGUUAAACCCAAUAAUGCAAACCCAUAUAUAAUCUUCCAUUAAACAAAUAGAAGCACCCAAUUCCUAGAGAGAGAGAGAGAAAGUUAUGCACUUUAAAGAAACAAGAAAACAAAAAAGCAUAAAAAAAACCUUAGGACCAACCCAACACGAAGUCAGUUCGAAAAACAAUUUCCACCACCAAGAAAUGAAACAAAGAUUUCAACUUUUAUACGUAGAUUCCACCCCAGAACCAAAAAGAAUAACAAUAAAGUAGAUGCUGCUGGCGUGGUUGCACGGGAUCAAGCUAUUUCUCAUGGCACGAAGAAAGUGGCUUUACUGAGUUAUAAAGCCUUGCUUGCAAACACCCACAUUCUGUUUCAGUUAAAUGUCGGUAUCUUUAAACUUUCUUUCUCUCUUACCUUCCCCAAGAGGGAAAAAAAUAAACAAAAAAAAAAUGCAACCCCUUUUUUCUUCUUUCUACUUUCCAAGAAAAACGAGUAAAAUACAGUGAGGAAGUAGUGACAACUGGAAAACAUGUUGUAGCAGGCAAGUGUGAAAGUGAGAUGGACAUACAACCUAAGCAGGAGACCAAUUUCCGUCACAAACGAAGGGGAAGAGUGAAUGAUUUUGAUUAUCUAUCUCGUUGGAUUAGGACAAGAACAGCUAGAAGAAGAAGGGAAAUUGAAUUAAGGAAAGCAACAAAGGUGCAGACUUGGUGAAACUAAACAGAUAAAAAAACGGGAGGGGGAGAUGGUGGGGACCACUCGAAAUGGUUUGUUUGCAAGAGAAAAAAAAAACAGGUUGGGAGGUGAAAUUAAUAAAGAAAUGUGAGUAUGGGAAUUGGUGAAUGGAAAGGGACACGUGUUGGAGGGGUUUGCAUUUGUUUCUGGGAUCGCAAUGAUGUCGACAACGAUGCCUUGUUGUUUGUUUGGUUGAGAGAGAAAGUGCGCUGCAGCUUUGCUUUGCACACCUCACACUGGACCACAUUUUCCUUCUUUCUCAAUUCUACCCUCUUCACCCAAAUCAAUUUUUUUAGUUUAAUUAAUUGCACUUAGUAUCCAUACUUUAAAUAAUUAUAAACAACUUAUAAUCUGACUUUUUAGUUAACUAUUAUUUAUGACUAAAAAGGUAUAAAUUGUUCAUUAAUAGUAUUUUGAGAUUACUUAUAUAAUUUUGUUUACAAAUUUAUUAUAAUAAUCAUAGGAAAUUAUUUUCCUAAAUAUUUGAUAUAUAAAAAUAUAUAUGACUCGAACAUACUAGACACACUUAGUUGAUCCACCUGCUCGUAAUUAUUAUUAAGUUUAAACUAUUUUACAGGACAAUUUGAUCAUUUUUCAGUUUUUAAAAUAUUUUAAUUAAAUGUUUAUAUGUAUUUUUUCUACCUAUAGUUGAUAAUUUAACAUAUAAUAUGUUUAAGUUUUAAUAAAUUAAUAAGUGAUUAGGGCAAUGCUUAUAGCAGUCAUAAUUAAAGUAAAGAGUGACAAAUAGUGAUUUUGAGGUGUUGCAUAUAGAAAGCAGGUUGGGUUUUAAAGUUGGACUGAGAUAUAUACUUUAGAUUAAAGAAGUUAGGAGUGUGAACUUAACAAGUUAGAGGGUGUGGAUAGUAAUUAGAAAAGUUCUCUUUUCUUUGCAUCCUCAAACAUAGAAACAUAUCUCCAUAAUACAAAUAUUUUGAUAUUUAAUAUUAUUUAAUAUUUUUAGAUAUAAUAGAGAUAUUUUAAUGUUAAUACUUUUUUAAGAUUAUUUAUUUAUUUAAACAUAACAUUAAUAUAUUUUCAAUAUUAUUUUUUCUUUUAAACAUUAUACAAAUAUUUUGAUAGUGAUAACUUCUCAACAUUAUCUUGUUUAUCUAAAUAUUAUAUUAUAUAUUUUCAUUAUUAACUUAUGUUUUCAAUAUUGUAUCAUCAUUUUCAUAUUAAUUUAUUUUCAGGACAUUGGAAAUUUAUUUUCAUAUUAAUUUCAUAUAUUAUAAAAUUUAACAUCCAAAUUUUAUGCUACCUUUUCAAUUUUUGCAUGUAUAAAUUGAUGAUAAUAUGUUAAGUCAAGAUAAAUAUUUUUCAAAGACAGCUUCAAGAUAUUAAAUUAAGAAAAUAAAUUUUAUUAUUUUUAAAAUUAUUAUAUUUAAUAUUUAAUCCCACAUUUAUAUUUUAUGUUAUUGAAUUUGGAAAUAUAUGUUAAGGAAAAAACACAAGAGCAAGAUAAGGGCGUGUGGAAGGGGAAAAAACAUAAAUUUAUUUGAUAAAAUCAACAUAUAAUAUGCACAAGUGCAAUACCAAAUGCAAAAAAAAAAUUGUCUGGGGGCAUAUACCUAAAUAGAUUCAAACUAAGGAUAAUUUGAAAAAAAAAAUUGUUGUAAUCUUGGAUACAAAUUUAUGUCUUCAUGCCAUUACAAAUUGAAUCUAUACAACACCUUUUUCUGGAGUGUAGAGUAGCUAAUUUUGUUUGGAUCCAGUGUUUUAAGUAGAUAGGAAUUAUAAUUGUGCACAUAUAUAUAACUCUAUUUUCAAUCACUUCCACCAAUUUAAUUGUCCAAGUUUGAACAAAAAAAAUAGAAUAUGGUAUAAAAAACUAUGUGGGUGGCAGUUACGAGAGAGGUUAGGAACCACAAAAACAAAGUAUUAAAAAAUGGAGUAUGUGAUUUUGGAUUAGUACAAUUGAAAUGUUGGCCGUGGAUUACAAAUAUGAAUAAAAACAAUUGUUUUCUUACUCAAAUCAGUGCUUAUGAAAACUUACUUACAAAUGUGUUAAUUCCUAGCCAAUGUUCUUAUGGUUAACAUUCACUACAAAAAAAAUAUGUUCAUUAGCAUGGGUCAAAAAAGACAUUAGCUAUAAUAAAUAGACGCAAAAGUGUAGUUAUUAUUAAAAUUUGGAAGCUAAUAUGUUCGACAUAAAAAUAGUGACGGGUGUGUGAGACACAAGUGGUGUGUUUUUUGCGUAGGCCUAGCCUACGUGCUCCUCACAAAAUUAUAUUUUAUAUUGUUUAUUUAAAGAAGCUUGGGCUUAGCCUACAUGUUGCCCACGCAAAAUUAUGUUUUAUAUUGUUUAUUCAAAUAAGCGUGGGCUUAGUCAACGGAUUAGCCACACAAUCUUUAAACAAGCGUGGACUUAACCUUCAUAAUUUUAUUACAUAUUUAAAUUUAAUUUAAAAAUAUAUAUUAUGUUUGCGUGUGCUUAACCUACAAAAUUUUAAAUUUUUAUUAUUAUUUAUUAUUUAUAGUUCCAGUUGUGACUGUUUGACCCACACAUUUUUUUUUCUUUUUUUUUAAGUUUAUGUCCAUAUAACCCACACUUUAUUAUUUUUUUUAAUAAUGAAGGCUUAGUGGACACUAUUUAGGGUUCCUAGUAUCACCUUCACUUUCUUUUGCAGCUAAUUUUACUUUUUGGUGUAGUGGUUGUGGUAUGUAUGGUGUGGUAUGUACGUUGUUGUUGUUGUUGUUUUACAACUUGAGCAGCAGAAACUACACUGCUAGUUUUUUUUUUUUCUUUUUUCCUUUUGACAGGAUAAGAGGACAUGAAGUUUGGCUUUUUGGAAGUUGUUGUGGUAUAUAGAGGUUGACUUAAAUUACACUCAACAUAAUUAAUUUUCAGGAUCUUUUUCACAACGGGUUUUUGUAAAGAUAAGGGUGGUAAUGAUAAUUUUGUCACAUCUUAGAUGCUUAUAGUAUUUUACUAGCUACCAAUAAGUUUGUUCAUUAAUGUAAUAGCUUAGAGGCUUUUUUGGGUGGGGUCUCUUAGGUGGAGUUUACUAGAAUCACCACUCUUAUGGUUAGGCAAUGCAACUUCAUGGUCCUUUAUAGAAGGGUUGAGUCAAUUUAGACAUAGAUGAGCUAAAUACAAUUAUUGUUUUUUUUUUUUUUGUAAAGGGGUUAGAGUACCCUAAGUACUCCUAUUCAAUAUAUGUAAUUUUCUAUAUUGGUACACUUAUAACACUCAUGUAGGUACAACCAAUCUUCUAUUGGUGAACCGUUCAUGCAAUUUUCUCACCUGAUGCAUCUUUUACAUCGUGUUGAACACAAAACAUAUUUUUGUAAAUAAUUUUUUAUAUAGUUUUCAUAUUGGUGUGUCUUUUAUAUUCCUUUAGAUGAAAUCACAAUUAUAUGAGUCGAUUGCCUAUGCAAUUUUCAUAUCAACGUGUCUCUCGUAUCCCUUUGUGACAAAACAUAAAAUUGUGAAAAAACUUAUACAAUUUCUAUACUAAGAUGUCUCUUACACCCAUAUGGUUGAAACCACACAUCUAUGAGAUAACUCACACCAAUUUUUUCUAUAAGUAUCUCGCACUAUGUGGAUGAAUUUCUUAUGUAAUUUUAUAUCAAUACGUCUUUAACAUAUUUAUGGCGAAACUCUAAUGCAAUUUAUUUAUGUACUAUUGUAAGUCUCACACUCAUACAUAUGUAAACACAAUUUGUUGGUUAACUUCUUAUACAAUUUUAUCUAGCACACAUUUUAUUUUCAUAUUAAUCCAAUCACAUCUUUGUAGAUCUCAAGCAUUUUUUAUUUAUAGAAGUGUCUUCCACAUUUUACUACACAAUUCAUAAAUUUUAUCUUUAUUAAACUUUACAUUUGAAAAUAUCAAUAUUACUCCAUAUAUUUAUGUUUAUUUAUAUUUGUCACAUAAAAUAACUAUAGAAGAAAAAAAAAACGUAUGACCAUGUACAUGAUAAAGUGCAGCUAAAUAAUAUUGCAUUGUGAAGAUUAAUCAUAAUAUAAUAUAACAAAUGAUUUAAUUAAUUCUUUUAUCAUGUAUUUAUAUUAUAUUUGUUCAAAAGAAAAAAAAAAGGUAAAAUAACACGUCACUCUAUAAUUAAGUGAUGUUAACAACUUAUCAACAUACGAAAUUAUUGAAUAUUUGAUUUUUUUUUACCCAUUAUCCCUAAUUUGAUUUCACACUUUAGGUUCUUUAACUACACACGUUAGGUCAAUCAUCACAUUCGAGUUAUUGUUUGAAAUUUGGAGUUUCGUCACGGUUUUGUCUUUAAAAGACGUUUCAAAAGGUUAAGGGAAAAGUUUAUAUAAACUGACUCUUAAGCGAUAUGAGAAUAUUUGGCGUACUAGAACAAGACCCCUUAGUCAACAUAUCUAGGGGAACAGAUUCCCCCUAUUUGAGGGCUAAGAGAACCAAAGUUCGUCUGUGGAAAUCUUUGGAACCUCGUUUUGUUUCCACAGACAGUGUCAAUGUUUCAACCUUAUGUUCGUUAAGAUAACAUCACUAGGGUUAAUCACUGCAUUCGAUAUAUUGUCCACUUUGAAACUUGGAGCUCAAAAGAUUAAGGAAGGAAGCUAUAUAAAUUGACAUUGACCUUGACUAAGUGAAAUGAAACUAUUGAACAUAUCAGACAUAUAUUAAAUGGACUAAUCAAUCUUUAUAGUAACAAUAUUAAAUGUCACUAAAAGUUGUUAUUAAUAAUAAAUUUUAAGAGUGACAUUUCCAUUAAUGGAGGCUAACCGUUAUUUUUUUUGCCACUUUACACGGAAGAUUUUGACUUUUCAUUAUAUUCUUAUUUUCUUUUUAACAGCACACGAUUCUUAAUUAUAUGCACUUGUACAUGUAAACCCUUUUGAUUAAUGGAAAACUAUUUCGUUGCAGGCAACGCAUGAUUUAUAUGUGUUCUUAUAUAUACAUCAAAUUCUUUUUAUUAAUGAAAGUUGUUUCCUUUCAGCUUCUGUAUAUACUGUCAAUUUUUGUCCAUGAUACUAUUUAUCUUCUAUCGCAAUAAAUUUCGAGCGUAUAUGACAUUUUCUCAAUAAUUUUAUCUUUAAAUUUAAUAUUAUUGUAACUUUUAACAUAUUACACGUUUUUUUGGGGAAAAAUGUUAAGACUUUAAAUAUUUUAAACAAGACAACGGUAAAGUUGUUUUUUUAUAUGAAAUACUAAACUAGAUAGCUUAACAAUUGAAAUUUAUUAACAUUAAAUAAUUCAAUAAAAAAAUAGGAUAUAUUAUUACGGUAAUAAUAAGUGAUAAAUUAUAAAAAAAAAUCAACAACAUAAAACUAAUAUUUUAUUAUAAAAUGAUAACGACGAUGAACAAGAUAGGAAUAAUAAGUUGAAAUUAUUAGAGAAAAUUAUAUAGAUUAAAUUUAACAGACAACUUGUGCCGAAAUGGGAUUUAGUGGGAAUUGAGUGUCCCAAGCAUAGUUGAAUUCGAUAGCACCUUUCCAAACAGGUUUACCUGAAGUAACAAGACAAACAUCACCUGAAACUUUCAGAACUGAAGGUUCAAUUCCUUCAACGGUUUGAAAGCCUUUGCAAUUCAAUUUCACAUUCUGUUGAACACAUGCACACCAAUUUGUGAUAGUCACGCUCCAUUCUGGCUUUCCACCUACUGUUCGUCCUGUUUUAGAUUGGGUGACAUGGAUAUCUUUCAACGAGCAUUGUCCAUAAGCUAAAAUCAUCAAACACAAACACAACGUGUCAAUAAUAUUUUAUAAAUAAUAAUUUUAUCUCUUUCAUUGAGAAAAAAAACCUACCUUGAGACACAAAGACAAGUAAGAGUGCAGCAAUCAAAAUCUUCACCAUUUUUUAUAACAGAAAUGAUAACUUUAAUUCUUCAAUUGGUUAUCCCAAAAGUAACAUAGAACACCAUGAUAUUUAUAGGCAUAUUUGAAUUAAUCCCAUUAAUAUUAAUAAAUAAUAUUUAAUUUGAAAUCACACACUGUAAAAUAAUUAAACUAAAAUUUAAUAAUCAUAAGUUAGAAAAAUAAUCCAAAUUAGGAAAAAAUGUAUAUUUUUAAUUAUAUACAUAAUUAUGUCAUAUACAUUAGGAGAAAACAAUCAUAUAAAACUAAUACCUCAUAUCUUGAUAAGAUUAUUCUAAUAAUACUGCAAUUAAUUAAUUUUAAAAUCUCACAAAGGUAAUUAAUUUCCUUUUCAAAAACACCUUUCUAACAAUUAAUUUAAAAUCAAAUUAUUUUUAAUACCUAAUUUUGUUUCCUUGUAUAAGCUACACUCUUUUAAGUAAUUCAUAAAUAUUAAAAAAAUAGUUAUUAUUUCUAAAUUUGAUAAUAAUUGUAUUUUCUAAAAUAGUAUUUAAAAUAAGUGGGACUAAACAUAAUUUUUUUUCCUGACCCAAAUAUUUUUAUUAAAUUAGUUAUUGUACAACGAUGGAAAAUGUUUAUGGAAUUAUGAUUCUUUCUCAAUUAUUAUUAUGAUGAGAGAGAAUUUAUUUACUGAAUAAUUUAUUAUUAAAUUAAUUAAAUAUGUUCAAUUUUAAUUAAAAACAAUUAACAUAUAAGAUAAUGUUUUUGAAAAUUUAAUUUACAAAAAAUAUUACCUCUCUAAGAUAUUUGUCUUCUCUUUCUUUCUAUAUUUAAGAAAUAGUUGCUCGUUUUUUCCAUGAGUUUAUUUUAGAAAUUUUGGUAGAAAGUAGAAUAAGUUUAAGAUUAAUUAAAUGUUAUUGUUUUUAGCAAGAUUCUCUUUGUCCAUUUUUUAGUUGGUUUUAAGAGAAAUGUCGUAGGUUUAUGGUUUAGAGCUUUACAGAUUAUGUUUAUUGGAAAAAAAUGAAUAUUUGUUAACAUGAUUCUAUGUUUAGAUUAUUUUUUAGAGUAUUUUAUGGAUAUAUUUAGCUUUAUUGCGAGAGUAGUAAAAGUGAGAAGUUAACCUUAAUUAGGUACGUUAUAAAAGGAAAAGAAACUAGUUAUAUUUUGGGGGUUUUGACUUUGUCACAAUGUUGAUUUUUACGUAGAGAAUGUGUUUUAUUUGAGAAUAUUUAAAGUAUUAAGUUUUUUUUUUAUAUAUAUAAAUAGUAUAUUUGAUGAUGAUUUAUUUAGAUUUUGUCUUUUAGUAAAAUUUUACCAGAUGUACUUCUUAAUUCAGUUUUACCAAUUUUCUAUCAUAUCAUCAACUAUUCCGUAUCUUUUAGAAUACUCAAAAAAUACAAAAAGAAACUACUUUACAAAAAUUAUUAUUUAUAUUAAAUUUUUUCAAAAAUCAAUGAAAUAAUACCAUUAACAUUCUGAAUGUAAAUGUUUGUGUGGUUAAAAAGAGUAAAUAAUAUUUUGUCCUAUCGAUAUUUAUCUUAAGUCUCAUAUGUAGCUAUCGAUGCUGUAAGUAGCUGCUGCAUAAAGCCUAUAACCUAAAUGUAUUAAGAGAUUACUACCUAUAUUAAUUAAUCAUUACAUAUACUAAUUUUCAAUUUGAGAAAAAUAUGAUGCGUAUCAGACCAAUAAUAAAGAUGAGGAAGCACGUGAUUGCAUGAGUAAAUCAUUGUUCCCUCCCUCCAAUUAUAUUACUAAUAUGCAGCUACAACCUAUUCAUCUACCAUAGGUAUCCAAUGCUCAAUAGUAAAAUUAAGUAUAAUCAAAUUUCACCAAUAUUCACAGAGCUAGUAGAUCUGGAAUAAUACAAAGAAAACCAUUUUCAACGUUGAUAAAAAUAACCAACUCUUCCUCCCCAAAACCUUGUAUUUUUACAGCAGUGGAUUUUCACUUGGUUAAACUGUGAAAUUUGUCAAACUUAUACUAUAAAAAUAAGUGAUCGAGAAUUAAGAAUGUCAUGAAGUUAGGCAAACAACAAGUUGCAUGGUCUUUGAUGCUGUUAAGGAUAUGGUUGGGUUGACACUGAAAAGUCUUUGUUAUCUAUGUAGCUAUCAGCAACAUUGUAGUGGGGCAUUAUUUAUGUGGCUACUGUGAUGCAACCAGUUGGGGGCGACAAUGAAACAUGCAUUGGCCUAUGGAUAGUAUAUCUAAGAAUUUGGAUUAAAAGUAGUAGUUGGGGGAGAAAAGCUGUAUCUUUCGGAGUUCUGUGCAACUUUUUUGAAAGUGACUUUCAGAUUGUGUGGUUAUCAUAAAACAACAAAUUGCCAAGUUGGCAAACUCAUCGGUUUGUGUUGUAGCAUCAUGCAACAGUGUGCAUUUAAGCAAUUCAAUUCAACCCUGUAAUUUGUUUAUUAUCUUAAACAUCGCUGUCCAUUAUGCUUCCAUGUUCCUUUUGGCCAUGGAAAACAUGUACUAAUAUACUCACCACCACAUGCAUUGUGCUUUCCAGGGAAACUUUUAUUUUUGCUCACAUUCAAAUUAUGCAUUCACAAUUCUAUUCAAAAUAUUACUAGACAUUAAAUUUAAACACCUUAUCUUAGUGAACAUUCAAAACCUUGUUAGUCAUGUUACUAGACUUAUGUUUUAUCAAGUGAAAAUAAAAAAUAUACUCUACUUGAAAGACAUGGGUUUGGAUUUACUGUGCUCGAUAUCGGUCUUGUCCAACUCGACUCAGUAUCGAUUUGAGUUGACUCGGUUCGAUAGAAACGUGGGCAGACUCAACUUGAUAUGGGUCUGAAUCGACUUGACUUGUCAUGAACCUAGACCGAAUUGGCUCGACAUGAGUUUGAAUUGACUUGGCAUGACAUGGAUUUGGUGUCAACUCGACUUAGGUUAUGGCCCACUCAGCUUGAUUUGGGCCAGGAUUUACUUGACUCGACUUUGGCCUGAACCAACUUGGCUCGACUUUGGCCCGAACCUAAUUGGUUUGACUUUGGUCUGGACUAACUCGACUCGACAUGGAUUCAGACUGACUUUGCUUGACUUGGGCCCAGAUUGACUCGACUCAACCUAGGUCGAGGUCAAAUCAAAAUCCAACUCAAAAUUCAUUUUAGAUAAUCCAAAAAUGUAUCCAAUCUAUACACUACAAGAAAAUCAUGAAAUAGAAACCAAUUUUUAGAGACCAAAAUAAUUAGUUGCAAUAGUAACUAAAUUAGAGACCAUUUUAGAAACUAAAAAAAAUUAGUUUCUAAAUUAGUUUCUAUUAUUGUUAAAUAGUUUCUAAAUUAAUAUCUAAUUAGCAACCAAGGUUUUAACUACCAAUUAUUUAGUUUCUAAAUUUGGUCUCUAAAACCUUAGUUGCUAAUUAGAUACCAAUUUAUAAACUAUUUAACAAUAAGAUAAACUAAUUUAGAANNNNNNNNNNNNNNNNNNNNNNNNNNNNNNNNNNNNNNNNNNNNNNNNNNNNNNNNNNNNNNNNNNNNNNNNNNNNNNNNNNNNNNNNNNNNNNNNNNNNUUUCUAAAAUGGUCUCUAAUUUAGUUACUAUUGCAACUAAUUAUUUUGGUCUCUAAAAAUUAGUUUCUAUUUCAUGAUUUUCUUGUAGUGAUAUGUAAUCUAUAUCAAAUUAAAUGGAUUGGACUUAAAAUCCAAAAAUAUAGAUUUGAAUUUGAGAUAAAUUUAUUUAAAUGGAUUAAAAGUUAUAUGAAUUUAGAUAAUUAUAGAUUGGAUUUGACAAUUUGAAUUUUUUUUUUUCUGUUCUUUAACUAAAAGUGUGGGAAAAUAGGAGAAAAGAAGAAAAUUUGAGAAUGUAUAACAGAAGUGGUCUAAUGUGACAGUAGAUGCAGCUGGUGGAUAAGUUAAAGCGAGAGAAGGUCAUGUUCCAAUAAUUGUGAAGAAAGAAAGUGAUGUAGAAUGGGAAGGACACAUUCUCCAAGUUGUAUAUAUAUACUAUUAACACCCUCAGAUCUUACUCCGGAUUCCCAGACCAACAACUCUUGGAUCACUGCUCAUGAUGCUUUUCUUUUCUUUUUUUCUUUUUUUCUUUUCUUUUCGCCUUUUUUUUAAUACCAAAGAUGGUACUUUUUUGUCCUCUCCAUAUUUCAACAAGCCUUUAUUUAGAAGGAUGGGCCUUUUAUGGGCCCAUAGUGAGAGGCCAGUUUGCUAAACGUACAGGGAACAUACAACCACUGCUUGCCAACCCUUGGUACUGUCGUUUUAAAUGCCAUAUAUCCAUACAACACUACGUAUCAGAUAACCGAUCCCACCUUUGUUUAGUACUGAGAGAACAAAUAAAGGGAGAAAAAGAAAACAGAAGGUCAAAAAUCAACUAAAAGGGAUGCUGUUUGGUUGAAGAAAAAUAAAAUGAAACUAAAGUGAUAAGGUUUGCAUUGAAAGAAAAAAAUAUAUAAUUUUUUAUGCUGAAAAUCUAUGUUACCCUUCUUGUUUAUUUAUUAAAUUGUGUUACAACUAAAUAAAUAAUGAGAAUAUCAUCCUAAAAGUUCAGUAUAGAAUGCCAAAAUUUUAACAUUUUCAAAGAAUUAUUUUUAAAAUGGGUUAAAAUUUUAAUAUUUAAAAAAUUAAUUUUCAAACAAAUGUGUUAAAAUGUUUCAAUUUUGUUAAAAUGAAUUUCUGGCAGUGUUUAAAUUUUAGCGUUCUACUCCCAAAUAUACUUUUAAAAAAAUAUAUAAAAAGUAAAUUAAUAAAAUUAGAUUGUGUCAAUAACAAUUACCUUAAUUUAAUUGAGCUUAAACCCACAAGGCCCAUUUUCAAAAUUAACUUUUAAAAGUAGUUCAUGAAAGGAAAUUCUUUUAGGACCCACAUAAUUCUUUUCUGCACCACAUAACAUAACUAUGAAAAUCCUCACCUUUUUCUAGUGGUUUAUGAAAAAAUGAUUUUUGAAUUGUGUGACCUGGAAGUCCAUUUUUAAAUAAAGAAAACUUUUAAUACAAAAUUUGGAAGUAUUCUUUUAGUUUUAGAUUCUGCAAAAAAAAAAUUGACAUCCGAUUGUAUAAUUUAAAAGUCAUUGUUUUAUGUUUUUUUUUAAAUUAUACAAUUCAAAAAAAUAUUUUUUUAUAAAAAAUAACUUUAAAAUUGUAUAAUUUGAUAAGAGAGUAUUUUAUACUACAUAACCCAAAACUCUCUUUUUUCUAAUUUAUUUAUAACACAACACAGACAAGGUGAUGACGAUGGCAACAAUAAGGAAGCAUCAGCUGUGACAGCGAGGGAGCAAUUUUGUCUUUUAACAGUUUCAUGGGGUACACAUAGAAAUUAUGGAAUGCCGAAAGAAAGGCCUUUAGUCAAGUGGGAUCAGAUAUAGACAUCCAUUCCUAGCCCAAUCCUUACGAGAGAGAGAACCUAGAAACAAUAUUUUCUUUGAACAUGUUUAUUUUUUAUACAAUGUUAGUAUGGUAUUAUAAAAAUAAAUGAAUUUAUCGCGUAAUCGAUGAUAACUUGGAAUUUAAAAAGAAAAAGACGAGAAAUAUUAAUGACGGACAUAUUCUUGUAAUGGAAAUUGUAGAAGGAUUAAGAAAGGGCAAUUCUAUCUUUAAAAAAAUAAACGAUAAUAUCAUAAUUUGACUAAUUAAUUGCCAUAUUCUCUUAAUCCCAACUAAUAUUUCACUGUUUUCCUGAAGAAAAUAGAUUUAAUUCAGACUUUUAGGAAAUGCUUUUUCAAUGAAAAAAAAACAAAAAAAAAAAACAAAGGAGUUGUUUUGGAUGUCACAAAAGCAUUCCUCUCUUUAUCUUUUGUCUUACAUGGACAUUGUUUUGAUUGUUAUGCUUUAAGAAAGCCUUUCUUUACCUAAUUCUAACUUCACUUUUCCUUUUUGUUUUUUGUUUUCCUAAAAAUAACACUAAUCUAAGAAACUGGGAAAAGAACAGCUUCUCCUCUCACAACACAACACAACAAGAAUUUGAGUAAGUUAAAUUGAGACGAACAAUUUAAACUUAUUAACAUCCAUUUGAAUCGAAGAGACCGGUAGAAGUAACAAUGUAGAUGAUUUCUCGUAUCACAGAACAAGAUAAGAUGCAAUUAUAUUUAAGGAGACUUAAAUAGAGAACCAAAAGUUUGAUAUGGAGCAAAGGGAAGUGGUACGAUGAGAUUGCUUGAAUGGAUCAUUCUGGAAUCGUGAGGAGGAGAGGGCGCCAGUAUUUCCUUUUCAACAACGACCUGCAACGAAAACCGGUCCAAGGCGAGUUGCUUGAACCGGGUUCGUUACUCCAAGAAUGCGGAACCGCAACGGAAGCCAACAUCGGAGUUUUUUCGUGAUCGUGCAGGUGCUCCUCUCGUGGCGGCGAGGACACAAAGAGGGCCUUCAGUGAGUGUCUCCGCAUGGGAUCCUUCUCAACGGCUUGCCGAGGUGACCGGUUCAGGCUGAGAAGAGUUCGCAGGGAUGUUUUGGGCCGCCGGAACUGAACCAACGGGCUCGUCCUUGGGCUUUGGGUCGGGCUUUGCCUCACUCCACAGGGCGUUGCGAAGAGUUUGAACUUCUGCAAUGCAGCCAUGUAUUGAGUUAUUUGUGGACGCUUCCUCCACUCUGUUCUCUGCUCUAUUAAAAGAGUGUUAAAGUGAAUUUGAAUUUGAAUAUUGAUAAUUGUGAGGGGACAAAGGCGAUUGAUUGGUCUUAACAAGCAUGGGAUCUAUUUUGGGAAUGGUUGCGUCUUUUCUUCCAUACACAUUCAUUACUUCUCUUUAAUUCUUCCUUUGAUACUUUGGACUAAAGAGCACUAUGACUGAUGCCAAGACCAUGGAAAUGGAAUCACCACGUAGGCCCAACCAUUUUCCCAUCUCGCUUUUUUGGUUUUCAAUAAAAUCAAUUUUUUAAGAACAAAUGUAUUUAUCCUCCACAAAAACAAAGAACAAAAUGUACUAGUACAACGUUAUCCAUGCGUUAUGUUACAUUGAUUUGACUGAUAAAUAACGAAUUAUGUGACGUAGCAGCUCACAGAAAUUUUCUUCUCCCUUCCAUUUUUCUUUUUGGGCUCCCUUACCUUUUUUUCCACAGUCCUUGUCUCUUUGAAAAUCUGAACCAAUCAUUAGUGUAAUGGAAUUAGGAGCAUCGAGAGUACAAAAAAGGUUCGGCUAUAUAUUCUUAAUUUUUACCAAAACGUGAAAAACUGUUGUUAUUAUUAGACAAAAAGUGGUUAACCACUGACAUUGGGCGUGGUGGAUUCACUUUCCCAUUUCUCAGAGAAGGACUUUUGCGAAGAUAGCUUAUUAUUCAUUAAAAUUCCAAUUUGACUCGAAUUCCGUGACGCCGAUGGUGGUGGUUGCACUUCUUCUUGGGAUGUAGAAGGAAUAACAUUACCACCAUCAUCUCCUUUCUCUAGAUUCUCAUACUCAUAAUUCCCACUUUGGAUUUUCUUGAGGGCUUCCAGAACUUGGUCCAUAGAAGGCCUUAAUUCAUUGUCUCCUUGCACACACCGAAAGGCCAAUUCUGCCACUGAAGUCACCAUCCUUUUAACCACUUGGUCUGACUCAAACCCAAAGGAGGGGUCUACAAGCUCACCAAGCUUUCCUUUUUGAAUCUUUUUCAUGCAAAGAUUUGCUAAGUUAACUUCAUCCCUUUCCCUGGCUGCAUCAACUGCUGGCAUGGAUGAUAUUAGCUCCAUCAGCACAACCCCAAAGCUGUACACAUCACUCUUAUCAGUGAGCCUAUAGCAUUGAAAAUAUUCAGGAUCAAGAUACCCCGGAGACCCUUGUGGAGCUGUGGAAACGUGGCUUACAUCAUUGGGGAGCAAUCUUGAAAGCCCAAAAUCUGCUACCUUAACGGAAAAAUUAAUGUCAAGCAGAACGUUAUUGGUUUUCACAUCACGGUGAAUGAUGUUAGAAGCAUGGAGAUAGGACAAUGCAGUAGCAGUGUCUACGGCAAUUUGCAUUCGAAUAGGCCAUGUCAGCAAACCAACUCUUGCUAAUUCACCAUGGAGAUGGCUGGCAACUGUGCCAUUUGGAAUGUAUUCAUACACAAGCAAUAGCUCGUGGUCAUGACGUGAAGUGCAGCCAUAAAGGGACACAAGAUUUCUGUGGCGCAAGCGAGUAAGGAUCUCAAUUUCAUUCAUAAACUGUUCCACUCUCUUGUAGUUGUGCUCAAAUAAAUGUUUGAUUGCAACUUCCCUUCCAUCUCUCAGAGUCCCUGGUUUUUCAGAGAUAAAUGCUUAAGCGAAUUAAUAAGACCGAAAAGUGAUUGUAUCUGUGCAAUGCAAAUGAGGUAUGUAGUGUGUUAUAUGCUGACCGUAGUAAACAAUGCCAAAGCCUCCAUCUCCGAGCUUUCUAGUGGGGUCAAAAUUGUUGGUUGCAUCUUGAAGUUCCUUAUAAGAGAAGACGGGUACCCCAAAGAAGAUCCUGUCACUCUCCGUGUCUGGAUUUUGGAAGGAAUCAGCACGAGUGUUUCUCGAUUCAACAUACUUCUUUUUGCAGUAGCGUAGCGUGAGGAACAACGCAAAUAUGACCCAUGGUCCCAAACCGAUUCCUUCAAAGAUUGCCACUUUUAUUUAGUUUCAUAAUUAACAGAGACUAAAAUUCAACGCCAGUUAAUGAAUGAACCAAAGAGGAGAAGGGAGAUAAAAAAUUACUUCAUGAUUUAAAAGGAUUCAUGAUGAUUAAUGUAUAUAUAUUAAUUUCUUUAUUAAAUCUGCAUACAAGAUAUGACAGGUGUACCAAUAAUAUAUUUAAAAAAAAAAUACUUUUAACUAUUUAAUUUAGGCUCAAUUCCCUGCACCAUUUACAUCUUUAUUUCCCUAUCUAGCACCUUUUUGUUUUUAUUUCCCUAUCUAGCACCCUUUUGUUUUUAUUUCCAUAUCUAGCACUCUUUUAUUUUUUAUUUCCCUAUCUAGCACCAUUUUAAAAUAAAUAAAUAAAUAAUAAAUUAUUAUUUUUUUAAUAAUUUUAAUUUUUGAAUGCAUUAAAAAAUAAAUAUUUUUAAUGUUUAAAAUAAUUAGAAAUAUAAUUAAUGAAUAAAUAAAUGAAUUUUUACAAAAUAAAAAUAAAAAAGUAAUAAAUUAAAAAUGUUUAGUUUAAAUUUUUUUUUUUUAAAUGAAGAAAAUAAAAAAUUAAACUAUACAACAACAUAAAAGUUGAAUCUAUAAACAUAAAUUAGUAUUUAUUUUUAUUAUUAUUAAUGAUAUAAUCAUGUUAAUUUCAAGUAAAAAAUACAGGACAUAAUUAUUAAAAAACCAAAGUCAAUUAGUAUUAAUGAAUAGUGAACACAUAAAUAAUAUUGAAGUAUCUACCCUAAAUGCAAAAUUCUAAAAAAAAGCUAAUGCAAAUGCUACACUUAAUACUACACUGAAUGCAUUAAAAAAUAAAUAUUUUUAAUGUUUAAAAUAAUUAGAAAUAUAAUUAAUGAAUANNNNNNNNNNNNNNNNNNNNNNNNNNNNNNNNNNNNNNNNNNNNNNNNNNNNNNNNNNNNNNNNNNNNNNNNNNNNNNNNNNNNNNNNNNNNNNNNNNNNNNNNNNNNNNNNNNNNNNNNNNNNNNNNNNNNNNNNNNNNNNNNNNNNNNNNNNNNNNNNNNNNNNNNNNNNNNNNNNNNNNNNNNNNNNNNNNNNNNNNNNNNNNNNNNNNNNNNNNNNNNNNNNNNNNNNNNNNNNNNNNNNNNNNNNNNNNNNNNNNNNNNNNNNNNNNNNNNNNNNNNNNNNNNNNNNNNNNNNNNNNNNNNNNNNNNNNNNNNNNNNNNNNNNNNNNNNNNNNNNNNNNNNNNNNNNNNNNNNNNNNNNNNNNNNNNNNNNNNNNNNNNNNNNNNNNNNNNNNNNNNNNNNNNNNNNNNNNNNNNNNNNNNNNNNNNNNNNNNNNNNNNNNNNNNNNNNNNNNNNNNNNNNNNNNNNNNNNNNNNNNNNNNNNNNNNNNNNNNNNNNNNNNNNNNNNNNNNNNNNNNNNNNNNNNNNNNNNNNNNNNNNNNNNNNNNNNNNNNNNNNNNNNNNNNNNNNNNNNNNNNNNNNNNNNNNNNNNNNNNNNNNNNNNNNNNNNNNNNNNNNNNNNNNNNNNNNNNNNNNNNNNNNNNNNNNNNNNNNNNNNNNNNNNNNNNNNNNNNNNNNNNNNNNNNNNNNNNNNNNNNNNNNNNNNNNNNNNNNNNNNNNNNNNNNNNNNNNNNNNNNNNNNNNNNNNNNNNNNNNNNNNNNNNNNNNNNNNNNNNNNNNNNNNNNNNNNNNNNNNNNNNNNNNNNNNNNNNNNNNNNNNNNNNNNNNNNNNNNNNNNNNNNNNNNNNNNNNNNNNNNNNNNNNNNNNNNNNNNNNNNNNNNNNNNNNNNNNNNNNNNNNNNNNNNNNNNNNNNNNNNNNNNNNNNNNNNNNNNNNNNNNNNNNNNNNNNNNNNNNNNNNNNNNNNNNNNNNNNNNNNNNNNNNNNNNNNNNNNNNNNNNNNNNNNNNNNNNNNNNNNNNNNNNNNNNNNNNNNNNNNNNNNNNNNNNNNNNNNNNNNNNNNNNNNNNNNNNNNNNNNNNNNNNNNNNNNNNNNNNNNNNNNNNNNNNNNNNNNNNNNNNNNNNNNNNNNNNNNNNNNNNNNNNNNNNNNNNNNNNNNNNNNNNNNNNNNNNNNNNNNNNNNUCUUUGUUUUUUUUUUUAUAAAUAUGUCCUGUAUUUUUUUACUUGAAAUUAAUAUGAUUACAUCAACAAUAAUAAUAAAAAUAAAUACUAAUUUAUGUUUAUAGAUUCAACUUUUAUGUUGUUGUAGAGUUUAAUUUUUUAUUUUCUUCAUUUUUAAAAAAAAUAAUUUUAAACUAAACAUUUUUAAUUUAUUACUUUUUUUUUGUAAAAACUCAUUUAUUUAUUCAUUAAUUAUAUUUCUAAUUAUUUUAAACAUUAAAAAUAUUUAUUUUUUAAUGCAUUCAAAAUUAAAAUUAUUAAAAAAUAAUAAUUUAUUAUUUAUUUAUUUAUUUUUAAAAUAGUGCUAGAUAGGGAAAUAAAAAAUAAAAGAGUGCUAGAUAGGGAAAUAAAAACAAAAGGGUGCUAGAUAGGGAAAUAAAGAUGUAAAUGGUGCUAGAUAGGGAAUUGAGCCAUUUAAUUUAAGGUAUUGAUUAAUUUUUUUCUAAAUAAUUUAAAGAAACUUACUGAUGAUGAAAUCAAAAUGACUUCCCUGUAGAUGUUAUGUUAAAUUUGUGUCGAUUUGUUUUUGAAUGACUGAAAAAACAUGUUUUAUUGUAAAUUUGGGAGUGAAGACUAAAAUUUGGAAGCGGGAAUGUGAAGAUGUGUAAGUUACCUAGCAUCAAAGGAAGCUUCCAAGUCAAAACUCUACUUUUCCUGCAUAAUUUAAAAGCAGCAGUUGUUCAGUUUAGAUGAUAAAGAAGUGAAGUGAGCCUGGUUAAAUGUGGAUGUCUGGAUGGUAAAACAAAUUUCUAUGGUUUAAAUAUAGAAGUAAUCAAGUAGAAAUUAAUUACCUAAAUUUAAACUGUUGUGUUGAUGUGGAAAAACAUGCAGAGUUAAAUUGGUUUUUAGCAGUUGGGAAAUAAAAAAGUGUGAGCACAAUAGAAAUCUGGUUAUAUAUGUAAACAUUAACUUAGAAGUUUUGUUGAGAUAUUAGUAUUACCUCACCACGCAAUGUAACUUCCCGUUCCUGUCUGGUCGGCAAUUGUCCUUUCCUCCAGGACACUGCUGACAGGCAUUUGAAAACUGGAACUGAUAGGUGAUUUGAGAAGUUAAAAAUCCAAAUGGGUCUUUGAAGAACUCAGAAUCUUUUCUGACGGAAAGUUCAACCUUUGAACAUGAGGAGUUUAAAGAGCCUAGGUGGUCGUGGGCAGAGGAGGAAGGGGCAAAGUAAAAAUCAAAGGAAGGACAUGCAGUGUAGUUGAUGAAAUCAUUUGAAUGGCUGAGGUCUUUAAGGCGGCUGCAAUUGAAGGCGGUUAUGUUGUUUUUCAGAUAAAAAACACCGAAAGGGGAGGAGGGAGGGACGCUGAUAUUAUAGCUCAAGGCAUCACAACUUGAAUUUCUUAGAAGCUUGUCGAAAUCAUCAUCUAUAAUGGAAAUUUCAGAGCCCCUCCAACCACCAAUAUUUGUAACUUGUAAAAUUUUUCCACCACUUCUCAACUGCACAUGCUUUGGUGCUGUUUGGUUACUAUUAUUACAGCCAUGGAUUGCCAAAACGCCACAAUUCUGGUGUUCAGAGGUGGUGAAGGGAAAGGAAAUUGUCCCCAAACUUCCACAAUCAAAUGAGUCUGGACAACCAGAACUGUGCCCAUUUGCUUCUGUCAGUUGCCAAAACAAAAGGAUUACAUAAACAAGGUACAUUUUCAUAUGAUAGAAUAGAAGCACUACAACCAUGGAAUGCCUAUAUAUAUCUCCACUAUUGUGUCUCUCACUAUUUGUUCUUCACUUCUUCGCCCUGCAUAAACCAACUCAUACGCCAGUUGACUGCGAAUAUCAAUGUCAAUAUAUAUGAAUAACGUGAUACUAAACAAGCACCAAGAAUUGAGGUAAUUUGGUUCUGACUUUUAAUCUCCGUGUUAGCGUCUCAGUAUGUGGAUUUAAUAAUAAAGUAUGUAAAAUCUAAAAACCAUACCAUAAAAAUGUGAUAAAUUCUUAUAACUAAUUACAUCAAUACUCACGAAUUGAGUUGCUGAUAGAUACACUCUUGACCAGGUUGAAGUGUUUAACACUUUGUUUUCUUGGAACUUGACUUUGCAAAGAUCGCUUUCUGACACUAUACACGCCACGGUGUUAAACUCUGAAUCAAACUUUCGCGUAACUAGUUGGUACAGAUGCACUAAAUGCAUUGAGUCGUAGAUCUGUCAUCACUUAGGUCAAACAAAACAAACACUCAAGAUUUUUGAAACUGAUAAAAUGAUAAAAACUACUCAAAAGUAAUACAUGUUUAUUUAAUAAAUACACUUGAAUAAAUAAUCCAAUUUUUUCACUUUUAUUUUCGAAUAAAUAAUUUUCGUUUCCUUAACCGAAAUCUUCAACACGUCAAAAACUUAUUGUCGGUAUUUGUCAAAGAAUAAAACCGUUGGGUCAGCAUUUUCGGCUUCGCUGAAAUUUAAGUUUGAAAAACUUACGUCAAAAAUCAACCACGGAAGAACCAAAAGAAAAAGUUAUUCAUAUAACAAAGCUGUCAGAGACUAAAAUGCAAGUGGUCGGUUGACUUUUAAAUAUGAUUUAUUUAGAUUAUGAUUUCAAUUAUUACAAAGAAAAAAAUUUAUCAAAGUUAAAAGUCUGUAAGUCAAAAUAAAAUAAAGGUAGCUUUAAUGUUUCAUCUUUACUUAGAGUUCGACCUUACGAUUAUAAUUAGACUUAAAUACGUUCUAGUACACUUGAGAUUAUGUUUCAUAUGAUUCCUAACUUCCUCCUUUGCUUUCUUUAUGUAUUUUUUUGUAAUUCCUCCGAGUACUCUGUUUUUUAUCAUAAUAUUUUUCUUUUAUUUCGAUAUUCACCACAACAAGUCAUUAAAAUGAAUAAUAGAAGAAUAUAUAUAUAUAUAUAUAUAUAGAAAUAAUUAAUUAAUUUUGGUACAUUAUAUUCAAUCCCAUUACAAUGGAAGAUUGGUCACUCAUCAUGAUAUUGAAUGAAAGCAAUUCCCAUUUACAAACAAAAGCACAUAAAUAAAAGAAUAAAAUUUGAGAUUAUGCUCUAACUUCCUGAUUUAUUAUUAAAAAAGUAUUAAAUAAAAACUAAUUUAAAAAUUAAUAAUUAAUUAUUAUAUUAAUUAAAUUAAAUAUUAAUUUAAAAAAAAAUUAUUAGUAUCUAAAUUAAUUUUUAUUAUUGAUAAUUAAUAUUUAAUUAAAUACCAAUGUUUUAACUACUAAUUAUUUAUAUUUUAAAAUUAGUAGUUAAAAUUUCAGAACUAGAUAUCAAUUUAAAAAUUAUUUAUCAAUAAUAUAAACUAAUUUAAAUAUUAAUAAUUUUUAAAAAAAAUUAAAAUAAUAUUUAAUUUAAUCAAUAUAAUAAUUAAUUAUUUUUAUCUUUAAAACUAAUUUUUGUUUAAUGAUAUUUUCUCUUGUUUCUCUUUACUUUUAGUGUAAUAUUUUCCUUUUAUAUAUUUAGAUUCGGCUCAACAAGUCAUCAAAGUGCUGAAACCACUAAUUCUUUAUUUUCUAUAUUUGUAAAUCUUAGUUGCAUGAAGUUUUUUCUUAUCAUGAUUUUUUCUAGCUUUUGAAAUUACAUAUUUAAAUAUUCAAACAAUAAUUUUAUUUAUAACCUUUCCCAAAAUUCCUCUUAAAAUUAAUUUUUUUUUAGUGUGAUAAGUAAACUUUUUUAAUGUUGGAGCCUAAAAAGUAUGAGCAUUUUAAUAAAAUCAUCUGUUUCCAAACAAUAAAGAAAGUGGCUUAGGCAAGGCUUUCCCGGUGAAGAUAGUUUAACUGACAGUGGCUUCUUAUCGGAAAAAUAAAAUUCAUUGAUUGAGUCUGCGAGAUCCCAGCACCAGCAUUUCCCUUUUUCCUACAUCUUCACACUCACCGAUCCCAGUUUGAAUUUUCUGCAGUGCUUCCAAUACUUCAUCCAUGGAAGGUCUUAAUUGCCUGUCUCCUUGCACGCACAGGAAGGCCAAUUCCGCCACUGAACUCACCAUCCUUUUCACUUCUUCGUCCGACUCAAAACCAAGCGAUUGGCACACCAGCUCACUGAGUUUCCCAUUUUGAAUCUUCUUUAUGGCAACACUCGCCAAGUUUAUCUCAUCAUUUUUCCGGCCGGGAUCAACCGCAGGCAACGACGAUAUCAGCUCAACAACCACAACCCCAAAGCUAAACACAUCACUCUUGUCCGUCAGCUGGUAGUUCUGGAAAUACCCAGGGUCAAGGUACCCCGGAGUCCCCUGCGGAGCGGUUGACACGUGGCUUGCAUCGCUCGGAAGCAACCUCGAAAGACCAAAAUCGGCCACCUUAACCAUAAAAUUUGUGUCGAGUAGAAUGUUGCUGCUUUUCACGUCACGGUGAAUGAUGUCGGAAGCGUGGAGAUAAGCCAACGCAGUGGCGGUCUCCACCGCAAUUUGCAUCCGAAUCGGCCACGUCAGCAACUUGUCCCUUCCGUUGAGAUGGUAAGCAAGAGUGCCGUUUGGGACGUAUUCGUACACUAGCAGUAACUCACGGCUGUGACGCGAAGUGCAACCGUAGAGGGAGACGAGGUUCCUGUGUCGCAACUGAGUGAGUAUCUCAAUUUCGUUCAGAAAUUGUUGCACUCUCCUGUAGUUGUGCUCGAACAAGAAUUUCACUGCAACUUCCCUUCCAUCUUCGAGUUUACCUGCAUUUUAAUUUUUACGUUUUAAUUUAACAGGUGAAUCAAGUUUUAUAUAUUAAUUUUUAUACGGUACCCACCAUAGUAAACGCUUCCAAAUCCUCCCUCCCCUAGCUUUCUGGUGCGGUCAAAAUUGUUAGUUGAUUCUUGAAGCUCCUUAUAAGAGAAGACGGGCACUCCAAAGAAGAUCCUAUCUGUCAUCAUGUCGGGAUUCUCGUGAGGAUCAGAACCAGUGUUUCUUGAUCGGAUUCGGAAUAGUGCACCACCGUAUUUCCAUUUGCAGCGCCGUAAUGUGAGGAUCAACACCAAUGUUACUGCAGUGCAUAGUCCAGCACCUAUACCUGCAAAAUUGUUCCGUAUUUCCAAUUAUUAAGUUUACAUGCAUAAUUGGAAGCUAAUUCCUUCAAAUAUAAUACAUUGUUUUUCAGCAACAAAAUUGGUGAACAAAGAGGAUUAAAUAUAAAAUUAAAAAAACAGUGACACUUUAUGCCAUGCAAGAUGCAGCGUGGAAUAUUAGAUCAUGUACAUCACCUAAUAUUAAUCCUAGCUUCCAAGCUGGACUUUUGUUCUUCCUGCAUAAUCCGAGGGGAUGAAAGCAGUUAUUUUGAGAAACUAUUUGACGCGAAUUAUGAGAAGCCUAAAAAUGAACAACCUAAUAUAAUUAGGGCAUGUUAAAAUAAUUUGAUGGUUGGGACAGAUUUAAUACCUUGGGGCGCAAUGAAGUUUUCGUUGGUUGUCGAGGUGGCAUUGGCUUCUGGCAUGCAAACACCGGAUGCACUCAUCUGAUGGAUGGAACAGCAAGGGAAUGUCAGCAGUUAAGAAUGCAAACGGAUUUGCAGAGAUUGCAUAGCCAUUGGCGGGAAGCUGGAGCAUUGAACAGGAAGCUAGAGAGUUGUGAGAGACAUCAUCAGAGUGUGGAGGCCCCAUGAAGAUGUCAUAGUCACAGCUUGUAUUUCUGAGGAAUGUUUUGGGGGUCUUAACUUGGAGGGUGCGGUUACACUUGUAAAGGGUUAUGUUGUUGUUGAUAGUAAAGUAACCUAAGGGAGAGCUAGGAGGGAGUGAAAUAUUGUGGCUGAAUGUCUCACAACUAUCGGAUUGCAGGAGAUUCUUGAGAUGAUCUUCAAUGAAGUAGACAAUAGUACUAAACAUUUGCAUCUCAAAAUUUCUAACCCUAAUCCAUCUUGGUCCAAUCUUUAACUUCACACCUUGCCCUGAAUUUGGAUUCUGAUCAUCACAACCAUGGAUUGGCCAUAUGCCACAGUCUUGGCGUUGUACCGUGGUGAAAGGGUAACCAAACUUCCCAUGGUUUCCACAGUCAAACCAGAAUGGACAAUCAGCCUUGUGCCCACUUCCAUUCCCUACCCACACAAAGAACACCAUAAUGAACAUGUAAACAGAAAACAUCCUCAGAUGAUGAUGAUGAUGAUAAGAAAAAUGUUGUGAUUGAACCCAGAAAAGAAAAACCCAAUAAUUUAUAAUCCAUUCCUCGCCGCAAGCGUGUCACACGAUUCGCCAGUUGUUUCAUGGUACCCAGUGACCUGUUGAAACAAUAACACAUGUUCCAUGGAAUUUUUGAAAGAUCCCUUACUUUCCUAUUACUAUUUUCAUUUUUAGGCAACAUGGUUAUAAACUGCUACUACUUGCAUAUACUCCAUUACCAUUCGAGCUUGCAUACUGUGCUUACAAUUACAAAAUUGUGACCCCAAUUUGUAACCAUGAUAAACAACUAAAAUUUGUAGGAAAUAAAUUUAUGUAUUUAUAAUAAAUAAAUUAAAUUUUAAAUAACAGUCAAAAAAAUUAUACUAAAUAAGUAUUUUUCAUAUAUAAAUAUAUCAUAAUUAAAUUUUUAAUAAAUAAUUUUAAAUAUAUAUAUAUAUAUUAGAUUGGUAAUAAAUAAUUUUUAUUUUAUAUAAAGUUAAUUUUUAACAAGAGGGUAUGAAAAAAUAGGUGUAAAAUAAAAUUUUAAUAUCAAAAACUAUAAAAAAAUAUAGAAAUAAAGUCAUAAAGCUGACCAUAUGAAUUUUGUUUUUGUUUUUUUGUAUCUGUAUACUCUGAAUCAGAAAGUGAAUAGUACAAAUUGCUUUAAAAUAGUAUAAAUCGUGGUUUGUUAUUGAGCUGCAUGGUUUUUGUAACAUGGGUUGCACACCAAAUUGUGUCGGUCAUGCACGACCCAGUUUUAUAUAGAACCGCAGUAACAUAAUUUUCUUUCAUAAAAUGUUGGUAAAAAGAAAGGGAAUAAGUUUGUCUUAAACCCCACUCUGACUCAAUGUCUGGGUUUCAAUUUCUUUUAUGCUUUUUCGCUCACUAUUUGUUCAUAUUCUCAUGAUUUCAGCACUUUCAAUUGCAGUCAUGUUAUAGAACCACGAACAUACCACACUUCAAAGAAGAUAAAUGCAUCCCUUAACUAUUGAUCACUGAAAUUAGGACUUGUAGAGUGACUCUUCCAUUUAUCUGUCACAGCCUUUGGCGAAGGUGGCAACUUCAUAUUCAUCAACAAUUUCACUUCAUCGUGAUCUGCUGAAGAUGGUGAUGAUGGCUCUUCAUCCUUCCGACUUUCUAUUAUUUUCAGCGCCUCCAACACUUCAUCCAUGGAGGGUCUCAAUUCUUUGUUCUGUUGCAAGCAUCGAAAAGCCAGUUCUGCUACUGCAGUGAUUUGUGUUUUAACAUCACCAUUUGACUCAAAACCAAGGGAAGGAUCCACCAGCUCAGCAAUUGCAUUUUUAUGAAUCUUCCUUAUGGCUAGAUCUGCCAAGUUUAUUUCAUCCUUAUUCCGGUUCAGAUCAAUUGCUGGCAUGGAUGAUAUUAGCUCAAUAAGCACAACCCCAAAACUAUACACAUCACUCUUGUUGGUAAGCUGGUAGCAACGGUGGUAUUCAGGAUCAACAUAGCCAGGGGUGCCUUGUGGAGCAGUGGAAACAUGGGUGACAUCAAGUGGGAACAGUCUCGACAAUCCAAAAUCUGCUACUUUAACACAAUAAGUGCUGUCAAGCAGAAUGUUGCUGGUUUUGACAUCACGGUGAAUGAUGUCAGAGGCAUGGAGAUAGGCCAAUGCAGUAGCAGUCUCAAUGGCCACUUUCAUUCGGAUAAGCCAUGGCAAAUAGCCAUGAUUCCCUGGUUCAUGAUGCUGGAGGUGACUGGCCACAGUUCCAUUCGAAAUGUAUUCAUAAACAAGCAGUAGUUCACGGCUGUCACGUGAAGUGCAGCCAUAGAGAGACACUAAGUUUUUGUUGCGCAAGCGUGUGAGGAUCUUGAUUUCAUUCAUGAACUGUUCUACUCUCCUAUAGUUGUGCUCAUACAGCCGCUUCACAGCAACUUCACGUCCAUCUCGGAGUUUUCCUAGUUGUCAAAAUAGAGAUGAAAGCAAGUGUUAUUUGAGUACAGAGAAAGCGAAGACUCAUUGAUUUAUCUUUUUCCACAGAAAGGUGGAGUUUGUUUGGCACAUACCAUAGUACACAAUCCCAAAACCUCCUUCUCCUAGUUCUCUUGAAGGAUCAAAACUUUUUGUUGCUAUUACAAGAUCCUUAUAGGUGAAGACAGGAACCCCAAAGUAGAUACUCGCACUUUCUGGGUUUGGAUUUGAAAAGAAAUCAAACACACAUCUUGGUUUGCGGAGCCAUAUAAUUAGUAGCACAAUAAUAACAAUGCCCGAGAUUCCAAUACCUAGAAAGAAACCAACAAAAAGGAGAACUCCUAUGAGUUCAAGAUUAUCUUGAAGAACGUGUAAAUGUGAAAUUUGAAACUGUUUGACUAAUUGCUAGUGUAUGACUCUGUCCUCGAGAAUUGACAUGGAAAGUUAAAAUGAGAAACGAAAAAGGAUACAUAAGAAAGGAAGGAAUGUUACCUACUCCAAACUUCCAUGCCAAAUUCCCACGCUCUGCAGGAGAAAUUAAAGGGACCAAUUAAUUUAGAACAAACGAUCAAGUUAAAAUAAUGUUGAUCACCUAUCCCAUUCAAAUUACAAUUAUAUUUCUCAAAGUUUUUUCAGGAUACACAAAAUAUUCCUAUUUUUUUAAUGGGUACAGAGCAGCUGCUCUCAUGUAAACACAUGUUGUAAUAUUUUAACAACAAUUAAAGAGAAUUAGUAUGACAUAUUAAGGGUGUCAGCGUAUAAAUAUAACGUGUUAAAACAAUCAAGAAUUUUUUAUAGGUCUUUAGAAAAAUGUAUUGGACAUAAUCCAAAAAGAAGAGACAAAUGUGAUUUAUUCAAGGGCUGGCUUAAAAAAUAAAUAUGAUUACUUUUAUUUUAGAACUGAUUAAAAUUGAAUAAAUAUAAUCGUAUUGAUAUACUGCAUGAGUCGUUAGCUGAAUAUAUAAAUAAGAUUAAUUAUGUCAUGACUAAAAUUUAUAAAAUGAUUAAUUUUAGCUAUAAACAAAUAAUUAUAUUAUGGGAUUUUUUUUUGAAACUUUUAAUAAUUAAUAAUUAUUUAUAAAUAGAAAAGAUGUAUUAAAAGAUUUUAAUGAGAAUACCACUUUAAUAAAAAUAAAUAAAUCAUUUCAAAAUGGCAUAAUUUUAAUAAUAGAAUGAAACAAUAUUAGAGUUAAAAUCGGGUCAAGACACAAUUUUAGUGUAAUGAUUUGACCGGUGUCGUUCAACACUAAAAUUGUAUCCCUUCAAUCUCCUCCUGUAACCAAACUUGUGUUACCAUAGCCACAUGAGUUCAUGAGUAAAUUUAAAAAAAAUUGCCCCAAUAAAAAAAUCUUUAUAAUUACCCAAUUUUGAUAUAAAAAAAGCCUAUAUAAGUCAGAACACUUUGAUUGUACUAGUUCUUAGCACCGUGUUAUGUGCCUACUAAAUAUAGAACAGAGAUGCGUCAAAAUAAAAAACAAAUCUCGAAGUAGAUGUUUUCUGGUAAUCCUUUAUUGAAAAUUCAUUUGUUGUAACCUUUAGUUGAGGCUUGUGGCAUUACCUGAACUUGAAAAAUCCCCUUCUCCCCUGUUUUCUUUAACCAAAAAAUAAAAUUUGCAUACCUCUGGUGCAAUAGAAUUCUCCAUUAGUGUCAAGUAAACAUUGUCCUUUUCCAUGAAGACACCUUUCACAUUCAUGAGAUAAGUGUACUUCAACAACGAUAUUACUAGUUAGAAAUUGAAAGGGAUCGUCGGAAGGACUUCCUUCAAUAGGAAGCUGAAUGGCUGAACAUGGUGCUAAAGAGCUGGGCCGCUGGAAACCCGUAGAAGUCAGUGUAUUUGGAAGACCAUAGAAGAUGCCGUACUCAGAAGAACAGUUUGAAUAAUUAUGAAAAUAGUUGGGAAGGGAGGGUUUGAGGGAGUGAUUGCAUCUGUAGAUAGUGAUAUUAUAUUUGAUGCCGAAAGAAGCUAAAGGAGAGGUGUGAGGAAGAGUAACAUUCUUGCUGAAAGCUUUGCAACUCUUGUUUCGCAAAUAACGGUCUUGUUCAUCAUCUGCGAUGAUUAUGCUACGAGGUUCUACCUUUAGAACAGAGUACGAGGUUGAUGUUGUCGAGGUGCCUAGUUGGAGAGUUUUGUUAGCGGAAGGAUCAUGUUGUUGACAGCCAUGUAUAGCCAAUAAGCCGCAGUGUGGUUGCUGAGUGGUUGUGAAAGGAAACUGAAUCUGGCCAAGAAUUCCACAGUCAAAAGAUGGUGGACACUUUUCGGUCUGAUCAGCUGAAACAAUCAGCAGAAGGUGAGAGAAAUAUAGUAUUAGUGAUUUCAAAACAAAACCCAGAAAAUGUGUAUGAAAUAUGAAAUGAGAGAAAGGUUUUGGAACGGAAAACAAUAAAUGCAUUGAAUGCAUCAUAGAAGAGAAAACCCCUUGUUUACGGGAGAUGACGGACACUUAAGAAUUUAGAUUAACACCGACAAUAAUAUAAACCCCACAGUCAAAGAGUGCUGCACCUUUUUUCAAACUGUACACAAAAGCAAAAAAACAUAUUAUCAUUUUGAAGUAUUUUAUACGCCAUUUGGCUUCGAAAAUGAACCGAAAAUGACGCUUUAGUUCAUUUUCACUUUCAGUAAUUUUAAUUCAGUGUUAAUAAAGGACAAGAUAAAUCAAGGAUUUAGUAUAUAAUGAGAGCGAGAUCGAUAACAAAAUAGCUAAAAUGUUCUCUAUUCUAGCAACUCUUAAUGCUUUAGUUUUUUAAUUGUAGAGAUAAUAUAUUUAUAGAAUUUAGGAUUGUUAUUAAAAAGUUAAUUUCAAUUUCUCUACUUUUUUUUCAGAGAAAUGAAAUUUUAAAACGAAAGGAAGUCAUUCUUGUAAUAAUUUGUUCAAUAAAAAAAGUAUUUGCUAGUGUUUACGUAUGCUCUGGAGCGAAAAGACUCAGUGUAUAUACAUUUGUUAUGCCAUUUUUUUCAACGAAACAUUAUGUCAUGGUGAAAGGUAUGUUAAUAUUAUUAUUUUCUUGCACUUAUUCCUUAUACAAAUAUUGCGGUAAAAGGUAUUGAGAGAUUAAAAUUAUUAUAUUAAAGAUUUAGAUUUACCAUAGAAUUUAUAUUGAAUGUAUGAAAACUCUAUCCCUAAUAAUUUGGUUUUGAUAUCUUCCCUUACCCUUUUAAAUCUUUUAGAAAAAUUAUAAACAUCUUAUUUAAUUUAUUGUUCAAAUUUUAAAAUAAUAAUUAAUCUCUUUACUUCAAUCUAGAUUUAAAGUUCUUAAGUGGUAAUUAAUAAACAUAUAGUUAUUCAACUAGUGAAAAUUUCAUCUGGUUUUGACAUAUUUUAGUGGGUUUAAAAGUUAAGAUAAAAUUAACUUUUAAUUUGUGAAUAUUUUUUCUUAAUAAGAUACUACAAUUUUUUUAUAUAUAUAAUCGAUAGAAAUAUUAUAAAUGACACAGUUAUUCAUUCAAAUAGUUCACACACGUACAUAUCGAUAUACAUUGAAGAAAGUAAUUUACACUUAUUUUAUCUUUGGUUUAAAUUUUGAGCUAAAUUAUUUCAAAUUAAGUAUGCAUUGUUAAUCAAUUUGUGUUGAAUUAAUUAAAUAUAUAUUAUUUAAGUAUUUUCCUCUUUAAUAUAUUUAUAUCUCAGACGCGUUAUAUUUUCUAGUUAUUUUUUGCAUUCCAAUUAUUAACUAUGGGUUUAUUGGGAGUAAACUUUGGUUGAAAUUGUUUUCAAGAUACUUACACAAGCAAUAUUUAUACUAAUUGAAAACUUCCUCAUGAUUUAAAAAAGUAAUUAUAAUGAGUACAAAAUUAAUUAUGUUAAAGAUAAAUAUGGAUUAAAUAUGUUUGUCAUUAAUCUACUUUCACGCGAAAUUGAUUUUCAUAUCUUUUUUAAAUUUUAGAUUUAUUGGAUACUUAUAUGAAGAAAACUACUGGAAUUCUUACAUGGUAAACAAAUUUUCAAUGGGAAUUGGUACUGAUAAAUUCCAAUAGUUUUUUUUUUUAAUACUGUAGCGUUAUGAGUUGAACUCAAUAUUAAGAGAUAUGUAGGUUGAUAGGAGAUCGGUUGAAUAAACUUGGCUUUUACCUCAUUGGCUUAUGCCUGAGACUAGGGGGUUAUAGCGUCAUGGACCGGGCCUGAUAUUGUGUAUAAAUAAAAUAAAUCGCCUACCGAUAAUAUUUAAGGACAUUAAUGUCGUAUCAGCGCAAAUCAAGGGAUCCCAAAUAAUCAGCCUUGAAUAGGAGGAGACAACAUUUAUACGACAUUAAGAUCAAAUACAAGGAAAGGAGGAGAGCACUGCCUUAUAUAAGGGAAAUAAAACAACUCACAAGAUACACACAAACACAAAAGGAGUACUUUCGACUCAUAUUUUACACUAUAUUCACUAUAUUUUUAUGUUCUUACUGACUUGAGUGUUGGAGUAUCUUCUGCAAGUGGAACCUCCUCAUUUUCUUGGAGCUCAUGAAGCUUGCAAGAAAAUGAUCAGUAACCAUCUCGGAGUUUAACCGACACUAACUACAUGUUCUAGUUGAGAAACAUCCUUCUUGGCUAGAACAACUAUAAAUGUCCAUGAGAUCUAAAAUUUGAAUUAGAAACAAGAUAACAACUAUAAAUGUCCAUGAGAUCUAAAAUUUGAAUUAGAAACAAGAUAGAAACCGGUAUGCACAUAUUCCAAUAGUCAUAAAUAUCUAAAAUUUAGACUAAGAAAAAAAUCAAUUUUAUAUUGAUUUUUACAUAACGUGUGUGAGAUAUUUAACCCGCUACAUAUUAAUAAAAGAACUAAUGACUUAAUGUUGCUUGAUACAUGGAAACAAGAAGACAGAAACAGAAGACUCUAUUAUUGACGUUUUCAAAGUCACCUUUGGGAGUGAGAUAUGUUUAUUGUAUAAGACAAAAUGGAAUUACUAAGAAAAGUUACGUGGAGAGAAAUUUGUUGAAUGGUGAUUUUGAUGUUAAUUCCGUAGCUGAAAUAGUCCACACUCCAUCAUGCACACCACACGGCUUGCAAGUUAAUUAAGGAGUUCAUCAGAAGUUAGAAAACAAAACACAAGAAAAUUAAAGAAAGGAUUACUCCCUGAUGAUUCUAAUUUAAGUUAUUUAUAUUAAAUCAGUAUUAAAAAAUAGAAACACAUAUCUAACAUAACUUAACAAAUUUAAACUAAAUUAAAAACAAUAUAUCAUAAUAACGUAUUAAUAUAUAAAAUCAACAAGCUGAUAAAAAAAUAUAAAAUCAACAAAAUAUCAUUUCGUAGUUUAAUUUUUAAAAAGUAUUUUUAAAAUAAUUAUAUUAUUUUUAUUGAUAAGUAAAAAUAAAAAAUAAAAGAAUAUUUUCGCGUUUAAUUUAAAGAAUUACAAUUAUAAUACUUUUAAGUGAGUGAGAAUUUUGAUUGAUUGGACAUAAAGCGGGAAGAGUUGAUUGUGUGCACUGUGACAGCAUCAAAACGCGUUGUUUUCUCUGCGUUUCAAGCACAUCAAGUAGCCAUAAGGUCUUUCACACGUUUGAAUACCAAAAGUUAAGGUUUGACAACUUCAAUGAAGGAAUUGACCAAUUAUACAAAAUUUUGGCGAUUAAAUUCAUGGAAACUAUCUCCUAAAUCUUGGAUGUUUGAAAUUUGUAUCAAAUAGAAAGACCAAAUGUUUUAACAAAUCGUUUAGUGCAACUAUUUCACCAAUAUUUUCCUAGUACUAAUUAAAUACAGAAACAUAGUUACAAAUUCUAUUCAAAAACGAAAUUUUGUUCUCAAAUAUAGAUGCUCAAUUAUACUUAUCAGUAGUUAUUAUUGUUUGACGGAAUUUGUUUGUUAAGUAUAGAGAGUCAUUAUAAGCUCCUUAUUUACUCCCACACACAUAGAGACAAAGAGAGGCCUUCACAAGAAAGUUAUCCAUCAAAAUCAACAAGGCAUUCAGUAAUUCUUUUCCAAAAAUUUGUUCUGAAAAACAAAUAUUACACUGCAGAAGGUUUUUAUAUAAAUCCUAAACUUAACUUAACUUGAGUAACUCUAAUAAGUAGUACUAAAAGAACUUCCUUAUAUGUUAUUGCUUUUGUUCUUGAUAUAGAAAUUUCCAAAAUAAAAAAUUACUGUUUGAUGAAUUUUAUUUAUUGUUUGUGUCAAGAAACCAAAUUUUCCUUUGCCAUUUGUCUUCAUAAAGUCAAACUUAUUCACCUAAUCUAUGUAAUUUCAGUUACAACUGGAGAUUGUAACUGUAACUAAAAAAGAACACAGUAAGAAACUGAUUUACAAUGACUAGUGUGUCAAAAUUAAGCACUGGCAUUAGAGGCAGUGGAUUCACUGUGCCAUCUAUCAGUGACGGCUUUAGGUGAAGGUUGUACCGUAAUCUUUCUCAAUAAUCCAUUCACAUCCGAAUCUGGUGAAGGUAGAGAGGGUGGACUUAAAUGUUCUUCAUCCAGAUGCUCAGGCAUAUCCUUCCCACUUUCAAUUCUCAUCAGCACCUUCGAAACCUCAUCCAUAGAGGGUCUCAAAUCUCUGUCCCGUUGCAAACACUGAAAGGCCAAUUCUGCCACUGAAAUCAUCAUCCUCUUCACCUCACUGUCUGAAUCAAAACCAAGAGAAGGAUCAACCAUCUCACUAAAUUCACUUUGCUGAAUCUUCUUUAUUGCUAAGUUAGACAAGUUUAUCUCAUCCCUCUGCCUGCUCAUAUCAAUAGCUAGCUUAGAAGAGAUCAGUUCAAUAAGCACAACCCCAAAACUAUACACAUCACUCUUGUUUGUAAGCUGGUAGCAUUGGUGAUAUUCCGGGUCAAGGUAACCUGGGGUCCCCAUUGGGGCAGUGGAGACAUGCGUGACAUCGUUUGGGAACAGCCUUGAAAGACCAAAGUCAGCAACCUUAACACUGAAACUUUGGGUAAGGAGGAUGUUUUUGGUUUUAACAUCACGGUGGAUGAUGUCAGAAGCAUGGAGAUAAGACAGUGCACUUGCGGUCUCUACGGCAAUUUUCAUUCUUAUGUUCCAUGGAAGACUGCAUGGCCUUGCGAAAUCACCGUGGAGAUGGCAGGCAACAGUGCCAUUUGGAACAUGUUCGUACACAAGCAGUAGUUCACGACUGCGAUGUGAAGUGCAGCCAUAGAGGGACACCAGAUUUGUGUGGCGCAAGCGAGUGAGGAUGUGAACUUCGUUCAUGAACUGUUCAACUCGCCUGCAGUUGUGCUCAUAGAGACGCUUGAUUGCAACUUCUCGCCCAUCUCGUAGUUUUCCUGAUUGUUAAACACCAUGUCAAUCACUAGUUACAAAUUACAAUUCAUUCAAACAAAAUAUGUAGAAGUGUAUAACAUCAAUACGAGAGAAUGGUUUACCAUAGUAAACGGUUCCAAAGCCUCCACUUCCAAGUUGUCUGGUGUGGUGGAAAUUGUAUGUAGCUUCUUUAAGCUCCUUGUAAGAGAAGAGAGGGACUCCAUAGUAGAACCUAUUAUUUUCGGGGUUUGCAUUUGAGCUGGGACCAAUUAAAUCAGUGUCUGCGUUUCUCGAUUGGUGUUGGCCAUCUGAAAGAAUGUAUUUUCGUCUAUAUAUAAAGCAUCCAAUUAGCACAAUGGCUAACAAUAUCACGCAUAAACCUGUAAAAAGGGGAUACAAUUCUAAGAUAUAUCAUAUGAAGAUUUGGUUCAUUAAAAUUUAUAUUCGAAGGUUCUUAGAGCGUCUAGAUAUAUAGUAAACCGUCUAAGGCAUUAAAAAAAAAACAAAUAUUACAAACUUACCUAUUACAAGUCCAAGUACCAGCUUCAAAGUUUUUCUACUAUUCUUUGGCUCUGCAGAUGAAGCAAUAUUGGAGAAACUUUUUAGUAAACAAUGAAGUAAGAAGUGUUAGGCUAACAUUAGUAUAGAAAAUUACGACAGUCAAACUAAUCUAAUUGCCAAUUUGCCAUGGUUAUGCGAAGCUAACCUAUGUGACAGUAGAACUUUUGAUCGCUGUCAAGACGACAUUGGCCUCCUCUGAGCUUAUAGCACUUGUCACAAUCCUUAGAUAAUUCUACUUCAACAACCAUCUGAGCAGAUACAAACGAUAGAAUGUCUUUGGUAUCAGUCCUGUCCUUUUUUGGUAACUUAAGAACUGAGCAGGAUGAGAAAAGGUUAUGAGCCUCAUGAUUAUCAGGGAUGGUAUGACUGUCAUAAUAUAUAUCAUAACCAUAGUUAGUGCAGGAGUGAUUGAAAUAAUGUGGUGGGGGUUUCUUUUUCAGGCCAUGUUUGCAUCGGAACAGUGUUACAUUAUAUUUUAUAUGAAUAGAAUAUAAAGGAGAAUGGGAUGGAAGACUAUAGUCAUUAUUCAAAGUGUCACAGAUGUUGUUUUCCAAACGCUUGUGCAAAUCGUCAUCCGAAAUUGAAAUCCCAUCCUGCUGAGUGAUGCCUGUAAGACCAAAUUUUGUUCCAUUUUUCUCCAGCUGGAUCAAUUUUGUAGGUGAUUGAGGUUUAUCACAAUCAUAUAUAGGUAGCAAGCCACAGUCUGGUUGUUCUGCCUUGGUAAAAGGGUAAUGGAAAUACCCAAGAUGGCCACAAGAAAAGAAGUGUGGGCAACCUUGGUUCCCAUAUCCAUAACCAGCACAGAGGAUGAGUACAAGGUGAUAAAAGAAGAGGAAGCAGAACAAAUCUACGAUAGCCAUACCAAAUUCCCAAUUGCUACAAGGUGAUAAAACACUAUUUUGAGGAACAAGUGACUAACUCUCUUUACAAUAACCAGAUUCUCUAUGAAUGAUGUUAUGCUAGUGUUUUUAAUCUUGCACGGUCACACCUUAUUCACAAUAUAUAGAUGUCAUGAAUCAACUAAUCUAGAAGAACGUCUUUGAUCGGCAAGUUGACUUGGAACAUGACCAUGGAAGACUUGAAAAAAAAAAGUAAGUGUACAAACUCUACCGUCGGCGCCGGACGAUCCAUAAUAUCCGGUAUCGAAUGUCAUCUAACUGACUAGUAUAAAUACAUUAACAUAAAAAGGAAUCUGCAAUCAAUCAGUUAAUUUCAUUAGACAAAACAAAAAUAUGUUCUUAUUAUAGCAUUAACAACACUCAAAUACCCAAAUACCGAAUAUUCACUUCAACAUGAAAAAAAAAAAACUUAAAACUUCUAUAAAUACACCUUUUUACCGAGAAUCCACGGAAACGCGAAAGGAAUAAAAACAACAAAAGCUGAAAGAAAAAAUAGAAUCAAUUGUUUGGUAGAACUCUCUUAACCCCUUUCAAACACAAACAUGUUAUUUUCUUCAUCAUUACUAGAAUGAAAACUGACCCACUAAGUUUUCCGGUCAAUUUCUCCUAUUGACCCUAUACAGUAUAUUCGCACCAACACAAGACUGGAAUUGACUUCCAAAAUCAACACAUUUUCCAGUUUAAAGUUCAAAGGUGGAACUUUGAAUGUCAGUAUUUACUAAUAAUUAAAAACAGUUAAAAGUAGAGUGUGAAAUUUUUGCUGAAUAACUAGAAAAGGAAGUUAAAUUUAGCACAUGUGGUAAUGAAACAGAAAGUGGAAUUGGGUUGUGAGGAUGGUGAGAAAGAAUUGUGUGAAACUGAGGGUAGAAGCAUAAGUAUGAGUAUAGAUGUUGUAGAAAACGCGUGUUGACAAAGUCUGAAGCACAUUUCAUCAUUUCAGGAUUUCUCAGGAAGGAAAUGAGAAGAGAAUUUCAGAGCAUUGGUACAAAGAUUUUUCGAUAAGUUCCUUUGAAUUUAACUAACUUGAUAUGAUAUGAUAGAAACUCGAACCUAACCAUAUAAUUUCUGACAUUGUAAAGAAAAUUUUAAUAUUGUAAGUAGACCAUAAUAUUCUAAUUAUCUCAUUCAAUAUAACUAUAUAAAAUUUGGAAAUAAUAUCUUAUUAAAUAUAAAACAUGUUAAAAAUACUAAAAAUUAAUAUAUUAUAAGUCUAUUCUUAAUUUAUUUUAUUUAUUAAUUAAAAAUUAUUUAAAAAUAGUAUUACCAUUAUUUCGGUAGAAGUGUGGAUGAAUAAAUUUAUCCAUACAUCGCCUAGAUUUAUAGUAAUAUUAAUGUAUUAUUUUAUAAAUAUUGGUGUAUUUAAAAACAAUAUAUAAUAAGAAAAUUAUUUUUAUGAAAACUUACAUGUUUAUGAAAGUAUAAAAGGAAACUGUAAUCAUCUCUUACAUUACCAGAAUCUUAGUUUUAACAUAAAUUAGUCUUUUUUUAUGAAACAUUUUCAAUCAACAGUUAAAAAGAUGUUUCUUUUUUAAAGAGAAUACAUAAAUGUUUAAAUAGUAUAGUAUUGUAUUAUUAUUUUGCAGGAGAAUUAUUUUGAAUACAAUAUUUUUUAUUUUAAUAAAAUAUAUAAUCUAUUUUUUAUUACUAGUUAAAGUACAUUUAUAUUUCAUUUCAUAAAAUAAAAAAUAUUGGUGGUUAAGAAUAAAUUAUUGAUAAUUAUUUUAAUGAUAAAAAACAAAUUAGAAAUAUCUUUUGUAUGAACUAUAAUAUAACAAAAAUCAUUCAUCAAACAAACAAAAAUAAAUAAUAUUAGUAUAUUAUGUAAAUCAUUCAAUUUAAAAAAGAAAAUAAACUCGAUGCUAAAAGUCAAUAUUGUGAAGUAGUUGUUUUGAGUUAUUUUUUUAAUCAAAAAGUUGAAUGUAAUAUUACAAAAUGCACAAUGAUAUUUUGAGAAUUCUUACUGUAUAUACAACUAUUUCGUAACUUUAUUAUAAUAACGUAAUAUUUAAAAUUUCCUAAUUAAUUUAGAUAUCUAUAUUAUUAUAUUACUAUAAUUAGUUGUCAAAUAGUUAUAUAAUAUUGUCAAAAUGUCUAUGUUUAGAUGACAAAAGUUAUUAUACUUACGUCAACUAUUACAUCACAUCUUUAUGGUAUUUAAUAAAAACUAUGAGAAUCUUUUUCAGAGAAUAAAAAUUAAUAAUAUUAAAUUUAAAUUUUAAAAAACUAUUAAAAUCGUAUAAAUUUAUUUUUAAUCAUAUUUUUAUGUAUUUUGUAUGAAAUUUUAUUUUGAUGUAUAAAUAUUAUUCUUAUGAAAUACUCUCACCAAAAUAUGAGAUUUUUUUUUUACUUUCUUUCAGUUUUUUUUCUCAAUCUCAGAUGACAAGAAUACAAUUUUAUUUUCUCAUUUUAAAUGAUUUUUUAAAACAUAAACUGUGUUUUUUAGUUAAUUUUUAUAAAAGGUAGACUUUAAAGUUUUUAAAAGAAUUAAUCGCUGUAUAUAUAUCACUUUCAUUUUACUUUUGUUUUUAUGUAUUUUUUUAAUCAUUUUAAUGUCUCAUGUUAUUUUAUUUUGUUUUAUUUUACUUCUUGUGAAAAACUAAAAAGCAUUAAAAAUUAUUUUUUAGAAGCAAAUAAGAUGUUUCUGGGUAUAAAGAGUUAAGGAAAAAAAAAUUAAACUGUAGAAAUUAAACAAUUGGAAAGGAAGAAAUGAAAAAAAAAUCAAAAAUAUUUAUUUCUUGUCUAUUUUUAUUUAGUUUUAUCUCUCUUUAUUUACAUAAUUUUUUAAAAAGUUAUUUAAUGUUUAUAUUCACUACAAGAAAAUCAUGAAAUAAAAACAAAUUUUUAGAUACCAAAAUAAUUAGUUACAAUAGUAACUAAAUUAGAGACUAUUUUAAAAAUUAAAAAAAUAUUGAUUUUUAAAUUAAUUUCUAUUAUUAUUAAAUAGUUUUUAAAUUUGUAUUUAAUUAUCAACCAGGUUUUAACUACCAAUUAUUUAGUUUCUAAAUUUGGUAGUAAAAAUCUCGGUUGCUAGAUACCAAUUUAGAAACUAUUUAACAAUAAUAGAAACUAAUUUAAAAAUAUUUUUUUUAGUUUCUAAAAAUAGUCUCUAAUUUAGUUAAUAUUGUAACUAAUUAUUUUAGUCUCUAAAAAUUAAUUUAUAUUUCAUGAUUUUCUUAUAGUGAUUAUUUUAAAUAAUAGUUUUAAUUUAUAUUUUUCUUGUUCUCAGUGUGUUAGGUAACCCAACAAAAUUACUAUAAUCAAGGAAUGUCUCACUGAUAUGGUCUGGUUAUGUACAAGAUGGAGACAUUGUACCACAAUAAGGAAACAAACUCACUUAUUAUAGAGACUUAUAGGAAGCAUACAUACAUCUGGUAGCAGCUCAAUCUUUGAUUGUUCUCUUGAAGUUACUUGUCCUAACUUCAUAUUUAUCAUAGUUAAUAGAUAAGAUUCGAAAUUAUAAUCAGUUUUCCAUGUACCAAAGUAUUUAAUUAGAUUUGGGUAAUAGAUUUAGAUUAAAAAAACAUAUAAACAGUGUCUAUAUCAAUUUAUUAAAAAAAAAUCCAGUGUUAUGUGAAACUCGUAGAACAGCCUAGCAAACGUGUGCCUAUAACUUACUCUUUUUCCAUAUCUUUUUGUACAGAAUUUUGUAAUAUUUGUAUCUACUGAUGUAGCCUUACCUGAACUCUUUGCAGGACAAGAAUGUGCCCUGUAAAUAAUCAUUCUCUCUCUUCACAAUUAAACAAGCGAUGCUGUGACUCAACAAAUAAUGAGCAUGGUAAAAUGGGAUUAUGGAGGAAUAAUGAUAGAGCAAGUGAUUAGCCACUUGCAUUAGGUGUAGUACAUUUACUUUCCCAUUUAUCAGUGACAGUGUCUGGGGAAGUAGGCUUCUUCAUAUUCUUCAAAAGUCCAACUUCAUCCCACUCGGGUGAGACUGCUGCUGGUGCAUCUGAAACUCCAACAUUAUCAACAUCUAUCUCAUCCUUCCCACUCUUAAUUCUCUGCAGUUCAUGCAACACCUCAUCCAUCGAAGGUCUCAACUCCGUUUCCCCUUGCAAACACUGUAAAGCCAACCCUGCCACUGAUAUUAUCAUCCCUUUAACCCCACUGUCCGAAUCAAACCCAAGGCAAGGAUCUACAAGUUCACCAAUUGCACAUUCUUGAAUCUUCCUUACUGCUAGAUUUGACAAGUUAAUCUCGUCCCUGCUCCUGUUCAAAUCAACAGCAGGCUUGGAUGAUAUCAGCUCAAUAAGCACAACCCCAAAACUAUACACAUCACUCUUGCUAGUGAGCUGGUACCGGCUGUAAUAUUCAGGGUCAAGGUAACCCGGGGACCCUUGUGGGGCUGUGGAGACAUGUGUGGCAUCGUUCGGGAAAUCUCUUGAAAGACCAAAAUCUGCUACCUUGACACCGAAGUUGUUGUCCAGGAGAAUGUUGUUUGUUUUCACGUCACGGUGGAUGAUGUCUGAGGCGUGGAGAUAGGCCAAUGCACUGGCAGUUUCUAUGGCAAUUUUCAUACGUGUAGGCCAUGGUAGCAAGCCAGGCUUGGCUAAUCCACCGUGGAGAUGACAUGCUACGGUGCCGUUUGAAAUGUAUUCGUACACAAGGAGGAGUUCACGGCUGUGCCGAGAAGUGCAGCCGUAGAGUGACACGAGAUUCUUGUGACGCAAACGUGUGAGGAUCUUAACUUCGUUCAUGAACUGUUCUACUCGCCUCCAGUUGUGCUCGUAUAACCGUUUCACCGCAACUUCCCUUCCAUCUGGGAGUUUCCCUGCAUUUUCAUUUCAAUGGAUAAGUGUUACAAUAAGAAUUACAUGAGAAAUAUUGAACAGUUGAACUGAUUUUAGCUUAGGAAAAAACUAGUUUUAGUUUUUCCUUUACAGAUGUUUAUGAAUAAGUUUGUCCAAGCACACUCUGCUGUAUAUUCAUUGUUUAAUUCAUCUUCACACUUUCAAAGUUCUAUCCAAUUUUCACCUUAUAUGUAAUGCGAUCAUUUUUUCAGAGAUCAAAGUUCUGGAUCAUGGAUCAUGUACAAGUUCUAAACUAUACAAUAAAGUGUUGUGUGUCAAACUAUCAAAGAAUUGUGUAAUGUUUGAUAAAGUAACUUACCGUAGUAGACAGUGCCGAAGCCUCCAUCUCCAAGUUCCUGAGUAUGGUCGAAAUUGUUCGUGACUUCUUUAAGCUGCGCGUAAGAGAAGAGUGGAACUCCAAAGUAUUCGCCACUACUUGCCUGAUCAAGAAUCGAGGAUGAAUCAGAAUAAGAAUCUUUUGACUCCAUAUGUCCACCUGAGGUAGCAUGUUUUCGUUUGUAGCGUAGAAAGAAAAACAAUAAUCCAAUUAGCAUCAUGCAUGGGAUUCCAAUACCUAAACCUGUGAAAACGAACCAAGAGAAAAUAUCAAUUGAAGAUACUGCGAGACACAACAGAGUGCAUGACUGCUGCUACUUUCCUGAGAGAUUGAAAUUAGCAUUGAUAGAGCUAUACAAAAUUUUAAAGAAGUUUUCAUCAUUCUGGGUAGAAAAAAAGAAAUUGACAGAUCCUCUUUAUUCAACACACUGAUGAACUUUGACACUAAGGAUCAACGAUUUUGAAAUCACAAAUUUGAAAAGGAAUAUCAAGUUAUGUAAACAGUUCAUUACCUAAAGCCAGUCUGGCAUUCCCACGCAACCCUUGUUUCGGAACUGCAGCAAUUACAAGAAACAUUUUAGCAAAACAGCACAGAUUUGAAGUGCGGAGAUACAUUUAUGCAGAGAAAAAUAUAGCACGUUAAUGGUUGGUGUUGCACCAAAAAAUAUUAGACAUUAGACAAACAAUCAAAGCAACUGAGCUCUUUCAAUCUAAGUGUACUAAAUUCUAGAUUUGAAAUUUUAGUAAAAGGAGAGAACAUGGAUUAGGCGCAUCAAGGUCACUUCUCUUUGAGCUGUUUGAUUCUGUUUAUGAUAUAGGAGAAGGAACUGGGCUAGGGGCAAUUUACAGAAAAAUAAACUGUGAAGAAAACAUUUAAGAACCUACAAUGUGAAAAGUGGAUAGAAGCAACAAGUAUUAGUGCAUUGCAUUCAUGGGUGCUUGUGUUUCCAGGGUUUUUGUUGUACUAUACCAUUGCCACAACAAAAAAUUUCUCUGCUGUCAAGUUGACACUGCCCUCCUUGGCGAUAGUAGCAAUCUGAACAAUUAUCUGUUAAUUCCACUUUACUAUUGACAUCCCCAGUUAGGAAAGAAAAUGGGUCACUGGCGUCAGGCACGUCUUUAAUUGGAAGCUGGACCUCUUUACAUGCUGUGAAAGAAGGCUUAUCGUCAUCUUCCAUGAAGAGCUUGUAGUAGAUAUCGUAGUCAUCGCACUUAUACUUGCUCAUAUUUAUAUUUGUGGGAGGGUUGACAUGGAGGGUGUGGUUGCACAAGAAUAGAGUUGUGGUGUGUACCAAUGUAAAAGCAGCAAAGUCAGAAAUAUGAGGAAGAGUAUAAUUGUUUCUGAAAGCUUCACAACUUUUCUUCUGCAGAAGGUCAUAGAAAUGUUUGUCUCUAAAUUGCAAAGUUGAGAAAUGAGUAGUAGGGCUACUCAAAAGCUGCGCUAUGCCUAUAACUUGAAACAACUUUCCAUUUGGUGGUAAUUGGAUAAAUUUGAACUUUUUUGGAUCAUGAUCAUCACAAUUUCGUAUGGACAAGAAGCCACAGUCUUGGCGUUCAGUUGUAGUAAAAGGGAAAGUGAGAUUGCCAAGAUAUCCACAAUGAAAAGAAGGUGGACACGUUCCUUGGUCCCCAGCCGCAAAGAGAAGUGCCAGAAACUUAGAAAACAAAAGCAGUGAUACAAAUUGAUGAACCCGACUCAUGCUUCUUCAAUCGCACACAACGUCUGUGAGCAAAAUAGCAUAUAAGUAGCAGAAGU
rnacentral:lncRNA from 1 species